rnacentral:lncRNA from 1 species
GCACUAUGGAUGUGAAACUUGCAGUAACUUUCAUAUUGAUAUAGCAAGUGCAUUUUAUCCUGGUAGGAUGAAACACAGAUACGAUGAUCACCCUGUAACCUUGAGACUUCCUCCAUUCUUCUAUGAGGGAGUAUUCUAUUGUGAAACAUGUGAAGACCAAGUCAAUAAUCAAAGGUGGCUCUAUCACUGUGAUGAAUGUGAUCAUUCUUUUCACAAUCAUUGCCUUCUUUGGGGUGGAAGUGUCAAGUUAGAAAGGAACAUCGAACUUGAUAUCAACGACCAGUCUACACACACUUACCUUGGUGGUGAAGACUCGUAUAAAAAAGACCCAAGCAGAGUACAGCUGUAGAUAUUGUGGGAACAGCUAUAUCUGGAAUUACUUUUUGGAAUGUGAUGGGUGUGGAUAUCGUAUAUGCUGUCCCUGUGUUAGUCAAAUCAAGGCGAGUAACAAGUCCAUACACUUCUGAUGGUGAAGUGAAGUGAGGUUGCCGAUCUGGGAUGAGCAAAAAGACCAAAUAACAUAUUUCUGGCUCCAUAUCAUCAUCUGUUUCGAGUUUUCUGGUCCAAGCACAUUGCCAGAAACAUCAUCCAUGUCCAUAGAUCUUCUUACUCAUGUUCCAGAUUUAAAAUUCAUAGCAGACAGAAACUUCUAAAUCCAAAACAUCCGAGCUCUUUGCAUGUAUAUAACAUCACCACUUCAUUCGUACGCCUUAAAGUUCUCCAGCAUGGAACCCGAAAUUCCUUCCAACAAUUAGCAUUUUUCUUGUUCACCUGCACUGUUUUUACAUUAUCAUACAUGUUCUUAUACACAAUUUCUAAAGUGGACUUCGGAGAAAGAAUUACAAUGAGAAGUGAUCUAGUUGUAUAUUGUGCGGGAGUUGGAAGUUACUUGAACCUCCUGACUCAUGGACUCCAGGGAUAUUUCAGGUAGACAGAUAAUGUCAUUACACCAGAUAAUUAUACUCAGUUGAAAAGACAGGAAAUAACAAGACAAUCAGACGAGUUGAACAAAUCUUUGCUCUUGGAGUCUUGGCAUUGAUAAGCAUAGCCAGUCAAACAGGCGGUUCGGCACAACCCGCCUUUGACAGAUGGUUAAUUUAUUGGGUGGUCCUAAAUUAGGUCAUGACAUUUCCUAAUGUCUUGAGCUAUCACUAUCUGCUAAACAAUUUAAUUUGUUUUCAGAAAAGAGAUUGAAGAAGAGGGCACUGAGUAUGUAUGUAUGUUUCCAUGGAAGAUCUAUUGUUUCAUCCAUGUCAGUCAAUCUUGACAAUAUUUGGAUAGUUUUUAACAAGCUUGCAUUUAGAUGCCGAUACAAUACUGAUCUAAGAGGGCAGGGAAAUGGUCUUGGGUACCAGUACUGUAUGUGAUGCAAACAAAUCUUGGUUAAUGGUUAAUAGUAACUUGAUGUGGGGCAUUUAUCCUGAAACUGAAAGACUAUUCAGCCGGAGAUUUCUCAGUUUGGUUGGUUGUGCAUCAAGGAACGAUAAUCUCAAUGAUCAUCUAGUUAUUUAGCAGAACUGUCACUUUUAUAUAUUACAGUCAACAGUCUCCACUCUGAAAAUAGCGGUAACGAGAUAAAAUACCAAACAACUAGACUUUUAGAAAAGAAAAUUUUCAAAAAGCUUAUGCAUAAGUAUUUGGCAAGUUAAUCCAAGUCUGUGAAGGUCUUAUGGGAUGCUGAGAAGAACUUGUCUAAAAUAUACAAGUAGAACUAGAAGCAUAGUGAAAACUUUACCUUGAUGACCGCAAUGGUUAUGUUGCACCCAGUUUUGUUACAGCUCCUGGUUUUUCCUUUCUAAUCAGCAAUCUGCUUUAAAGUUUUGGGGCAAGAUCUCAUCCAUGACAUAACCCAAAAUUGCCCACAAGCAUGAUUCAGGAUACAACAUGUACCCAAAUGAUAGCACCUCACGAGGAGGAUCCAAUGGUGUGCAUAAGUUGAAAUUUUAAGGAUAUCACUUCAUUUUUUUUUUUUCAGAAGCUGAAAAUGGAAACUUAAAUGGGGGGAAUGUUUCUUUUGUAAGUAAUAACUGUUAGCAAGUAAUAGGGCAUACCCUAAGGCUCCUCGAGAAGAAAACUCUCCGACAAACAUAAAAAGGCCAGACCAGAGUAGGCAGUUCAAAGAACUAGCCUCAUCCGAUACAGAGAAAAACAAUUAAUUACCAGUAACAAUCGACUCAUACAAAAAGGAAAAUUUUGUUCGGGUAAAUGGCGGCCUGCAGAAAAAAUAAAAAAAAUAGCUACACAUUAUUACAACGAUACUCUUGAAAAUAUACAUUAAUUUUCUUCAUAACCUUUACCAUUAAGCAAAACUAUUGACAUUUGAGGACCACUAGAUGCUAGAAAACACAGAAAGUUGAAAGCACAAAGAUAUGAUCACACAAAUGAGAGCAAAAGGCAACAACCAAAGACAAUAGGCUGAAGUUCUAAAACAAGUAUGCUUCAUUUUCAAGUGGUUGAUAGGAUCCGAAACAGUCAGUGCACUGACCACACAUAGCUUGUUAACUAAGCUAUUUGCAACCUCAGUCAUCCUUGCUCGCCAAUUAUCCCAAAACAACAUUUCAAGUUCACAUAACCAAAUUCAAACAACAAAAUUCCUAAAACAAAUACGCAAAAAUUUACACAAUCACCGAAACUCCAUUUCAUUAUAAAUUAUAAACCAUAACGUAUCCAACAAUUAUAAAUUCCACUCAUAACAACAGACAUAACAAAUCACAAAAACGAAAAAGUCAAUUAACCUAACAAAAAACACACAAAUCAUUUCCCCAUAUUACUAUCAUCAUUAUCGUAAUCAACAAUUUCAUUAUCCGUAACCGACAUCGAAUGCUGCACAAUCGACCUCCCGAUCGAAUUAAUCCAAUCCUCCUUCUCCUUCUCCGAAUCCGCAAUAAAAUACAUCGUAUCCUCCCUCGUCGACAACUCAAACGCGAAUUGCUUGUGCAGAACAUCCUCGGCGCCUUUGACAGUUAGACACGUGGCCACGGGGACGACGCCACGUGGCACAGAGUAACGAGUGAUGUUAGAUUCCUUAAACCAGAAAAGCUUACCUUGUUUCAAGACGAACCAACGGCGGCGCCAUGUCUUGAUGUACUCGCCUUGCUUGGUCAGCCAUCCGGUUCGUUCCGGCGUUGACCAGAACUCGAUGUUUGAGUAUUCUGAUGGGGUGGGUGAUGCGCCUGUCACGGCUCGCCAUAGACUGGCUGCUGCCAUUGAGGUUGUGUAUAUAGAGAGGGAGAGAGAGACAGCGGGAGAGAGACGGAGAGAGAGAGAGAUUGGGGUGUUUGGGAUUGGGAAAGGGGAAUGUUGUGUAGUAGGAGUGAUCCCGAUCGGUCUGAAGCAGUAAAAACAGAAGAGGGUAUAUUUGUUUAUUUAUUAAACUGCGUAAUAUACUGUGUAUCUUAACAACCAAGGAAAAAAGUGACUGUAUACGUGCUUAUUGUUUGUGUUUGAUAAUGACAAUUUAUGUCAUUUCUUAUUUAUUGAUAAUAAAAUUAAAAAUUGUGAAUUGUAAAUAAUAAAAAUCAGCUUUUAACUUAUUUUUAAGUAGGAUUAUGACAAAUUACACAAAGAAACAAUUUUCGGUUUAAAUCGAAAAUGACUUAAAACCUGAAUUUUAAACUCGGGCAAAUAGCUCUAGAUCUAGGUCUAAUGUUUUUGAAUUACUUGAAAAUCCAUCAUCACAAGAGAGUAAACAAAAUCUUGUUGGCCCCUUGUUAUACUUGACCAUCAUAACUCAUGUAGUUCUAGUGCAACGUUUCAAGCAUCAAGGUAUGGGAUACAAUUUCACACAAACCAUCAAAAUGAUAUCUAUGCAUGAGGUUUGAUUUAGAUGAAACAAAGUAAGCCUUUUGGUUACUGUAGGCAUGUGAUAUGGCUAUAUCGGGGAAAGUGGAUAAAUGACCAAAAUAAGGGUUAAAUAGCUAAUUCAUAAUUAAUCUGGCUGAAAACUUGCAACUGAAUCAUGUUGUUGAAAAAUCUUUCAAACGCAUCAUCAAGUAAUUAAAAACUUUCAAAAACAUCACUCUCCGUCAGUUCCGUUAAGUAAUUAACGGAAAGUUCAAAAAACAAAUAAAGAAAAUACAAAAAAAAAACAAAAGGAAUAUCAAAAAUUUGAAAAAAAAUGUUUUCUUGAAUUUUUUUUCAUAUUUUUUUAAAAUAUUUUUGAAUAUUUCGCUAAGUAAUUAACGGAACUGACGGAGAGUGACGCAUUUGAAAGUUUUUAAUUACUUAAUGAUGUGUUUGAAAGGUUUUUCAACAAUAUGACUCAAUUGCAAGUUUUCAGCUAGGUUAGUGUUGAAUCAGCUAUUUAACCCACCAAAAUAAAGGAGAAGAUAAGCCAUAGCAGUGCUUCAUAUUUAGGUGCUAAAAGGCACUCAUGUUGACUGUAUGCAACAUAUGUAAUCUGCACUCCAGAAAAUUAUUGCCUCAUCUUCCAACUGAGAUUGCUAAAAGCUUCAACUUUUCACUUCUCAACAUCCAAACUCAACCUCUUUUUCAUAUUGAAUUGAAGAUGAUAAAUAUCUACAUCCGUGUGGAUCGAUGAUUCCCGAUUUCUGAAGUCCAUAACAUCCGACACAGAUUCCUAAAUUCCUAAACUUCAUCCACUAUCACUCUAGGAAAAGCAAUUGCAAUUGUUUUAAGAAAUUUCACUAAUCCUAUGCUCUGGACACAUCACUAUACAUCAGACCCAAAUGUUUGAGCUUAGGGAUAUCAAGCAUUAAAAUGUAAUUUUUUAAAGCGUAGAAAAUUUGCAAAUUAAAGCUAAAUAUUGCAAAAGAAUGAUCUUGUUCUAACUUGGCCUCCAUACAAGCUCUAGUAUAUAGCUCACCUUAACUUUAACCACAUAAACCUAGUGUUGUUGGUGAGGAGACUGGAGAGGACAGCUCCUUACUAUGGUACAUGUUCUUUGAUCAAAUUAAAAGGGAGGUAAAAACAGGAGUCCUAAUUGCAGAAAUGUACCCUACUAUGAGCAAAGAAAUAUGGGAUGUGGCAAGUACUUCUUAUAAAACAAAUGUGAUAUAUGAUACACCAGAUUACUCCAUCUCACUUUACAUAAAUUUUUUGGCACACAAACCACAAUCCUGUCAACCCACUGAAGUGGUCAAUAACUCUUCCACUCUAACUGCCAGAAGAGAACUAUAACAAUCACAAGUUGUAUUAGAAACUACUAUGUAUAUUAUUAUAGAAGACAAGCACUAAAUAUUACCUUCCUAGCACACUUGCAGGGGGGGGCCCUCUUUCACUAUUAAUAUCAUCCUCUAUUUCACUUCUGUCCAUGCAUAGAGCAUUGUUAUUAACACUUACUUCUGAACUAGCGUUACUGCUUGUGGCAACAGGCGAAUCUGAAACUCCAACUAUCCUGCUUCUUGGUGCAGGGCCUGAUCUCACACUAUACACGGAAGAUGCAGGAAUAUUUGUCAUCAACGGCCUUAGAUUGCCUGGAAUACUUCGUCUUAUAUCCUGUCCAAAGAUAAACAAGACACUUUAAAACAGACACCGACAAAAAAUCAAGCCAACAGGAAACAACAAUAUCUGAGGUGUAACUUCAGAUGAUAUUUCCCAAAUAUAAACUUAACAGCCCUAGUCCAACAUGGCAACAUCAAAUUCACCAAACUAAAAACCCGGCUUCACCUAAGUCUAAAAGUAUUUAAGGAGUACUUUAAUAACAAAUUAACUUGUUUGGUUCUAAAUUUUAUGCUUUAUUGCUUAAUACAGUAUCUCGCAGAGAAAAAAAGUUGUACCAUAUGCCUCAUAGCCAUGUCCAAGGAUUUCUUAGAGAGAGAUCGUCCAAAGCCCGAGCUGUCGGGGGAUGAGGACUUUCCAGAUAAGUUACUGUGGGGGGAAUGUUUGUCAUCUUGUCUCGGUGGUGCCAGUUUCCGCAUAUUCAUCACCCUUUCAACCAUCUUCGUUCCGUACAUGACAGGGCUCACAUUAUCAUUAGCAUUAGCAUAUGCACGACUCAGUGCAGGAACGGAGCUUCUGCUGUUGACAGUUAUGCCGUUUGGAGGUCUUCCUCUUGAGGGAGAACAUGAUUGACGUCUAAUCUUUCCAUUAGGAGCAGGCUCGACUGAUGAAGAUCGAAUACUUUGUAAUCCAGGCUUACCCCUAGUAGCUGAGAUAGGUCUCUCAGAAACUGAGGUCCGUAAAUUUGGUGGUGCAUCUAGAGAAAAACCAGGCAUCUCUGAAGGUUUCCAUGGUCUCGGUUUCACUACCGGAGAACUAACACGUGGAGGCACUGGAUACCUAGAAGUAGCAGUAGCUGCCUUAGGGAACAAAGAAGGAGACUUAACCGGAGGAGAAGAUGAAUCUGAUGCUGUUGAUAAUGUGUUUGGUCUGCGAAUUGGCGUUGUUGCCCUAGAUGUUGGCUUGGAUGCAGGUAAUGAAGAGGUUUUAACCAGCAGUGUUGAAGAUCUUGCAGCUGACCUAGCUGUAGGGGUUGAAGAUCUUGCAGUAAAACUAGAUGGUGUUGAAGUUCUUGCAGUAGAACUAGGUGAAGGUAUUGAAGAUCUAGCAUUAGAAGUAGCUGUAGUUAUUGAGGAUCUUUCAGUAGACCUGGCUGUAGGUGUGGAAGAUCUUGCAGUUGAUCUGGGCGUAGGUGUUGAAGAUCUUGCGGUUGAUAUGGGUGUAGGUGUUGAAGAUCUUGCAGUAGACCUUGUUGGUGUUGAAGAUCUCGAAGGAAUUGUGGGCUUAUUUGAGGUUAAAGUGGAACGAGAGGUGGGUGUUGAAGACCUUGAAGGCUUAGAUGUAUUACCAACUGAGGGUUUAGAUGUAGCAGUCGAUGAGGGCUUAGGGGCUGAGGUCAAUACUGGCUUAGAUGCCGAGUUCAAAGUGGGGCGUCGAGUUGGUGUAGCAGACCUCGUCCCUGGAACCCCAGAUGAGGAGGGCCUCCUAGCUCCUCCAGUAGACAUAUUCAACCCAGGAGAUGAAGCAGAAUGUCUGGAUGCUAAGUUGCUUGCAGUAGACUCCAGCUGGACAUCUGCUAUCUAGAAUCAUAAUAAACAACAAACAAAAAACAAAUUCAGAAAUCCAUCCGUUACUCUAUUAGUGGAAAUUAAAAAAAUGUAGAAGUAAAAAAGGCAGCAAUACUUGCAUCAUCACAGAACUAAUUGUUAAGGAAUAGAAAUUAUUGUUCAUAAGAGCUCAUGACUUUUGUUUACCUUAGGGAUGUAUUGCAGGAACAUAAAAAUGUAGCCUUGAGUCAAGAUGUACAGCAAUAAAAUGUUAUACAAUUUUAGUGAAACACAGAAGGGAUGUUUCUACAAAGAAAAUAAAAUGCAAGCUUAUUCAAUAAUCUAUUACAACAAAGUUAUUUUCCCCACAAUUGAGUAGAGAAUUGAUGUGAUCUCAUCAACCUUAUUAAAAUAUCAAGUCACUCUGGUGCAGAAUAAAAACAGGAUGGGAGGGGCUUAUGAUGACACUAUUAUUUCUACAACCAAAUUAGAUAGCAGAGUGUGUGUGCGUGCGCGUGCGCGCGCGCGGAUAUAUACAUAUGUGUGUGUGUGCGCGGAUAUAUACAUGUGUGUGCAGGACUGCAGGUGUGCAUGUUACAAACCAAAAAUCAAGUUCUUACUUUUAGAGGAGUUCCAUAGUCUAAUACUGAAGGACUACUUAGGCCUGCAAGCACUAAGUGGAACCCUGCCACUUUAAUAUGAUUAAAAAUAGUAAUAUAAAAAUACAUUCUCCAUUUUGUUUGUAGCUGAAAAUCUAAAACUCUUCCACAUUUAACUACAAGACAAACGAGGUAGAAUUUUUUGAAAAAUGGAUUUAGCUGGAUGAUAAUUGACUCCAUCCUCUUUUGGACUUACAUCCAACAUGAUUUUAGGUGUUCUAUAGAAGAACAGAUACUCCAUGUAGAUGACAAGGAUACAACUAUUGCCUAUCUACAUAGGACUAUUUGAAUAAAUACAUAGGCCACAUGUUCUUUGGACUGACUCUUCUUCUUCUUUCUUUAUACACACACACACGUCUAUAUAUAUUUAUGUAUAUAAUUUGGACUGACUCUUCUUUGUUUUUAAAAUAUAACAAAUUUAGGAAAACAUUACAAUUGUGCUCUUACUCUAGAUUUUGAUGCAAUUGGAUGAGUUUCAGGAAUUCCAGUCUCACUCGUAAAGGUAUGUUGUGAUUCCAUCUCCAAUGAAGGGAAGAGAGGAGUUCCAGGAGGGGAUAGUAGCCUGAAGACACAAGAGAGUCUUAUUAAUUACCAUCUUGGAACUAUCCACUAUAAGAUAACAUAUUGUCUAUACGAAAUCCAUACGAUUUAUUCAAAUAAAAAAGAAAUGGUAAUUAGAUAUGCGAUCAAGCUUGAUGAAGAAGUAACAACUAGACAUAAUGGUGCCAAAGGAAGAGGCAAAAGAAAGAUAAACCAUUAGUGAAAGCUAUCCAAGUAAGCAAACUACAAAGUUCCCGAGUUAAGACUCCACUGGACGCUUAUGCUCACUAAACACUGUCACGAACAAACAUCAAAAGAAAGACACAGAGUCUGCAAAUUCUACUAGAAUUACCAUUCAUAAUCAUUCUUAUCACCCUCCGAGUUUAAAAACUCAUCAGAUGCAGUCUUCAGUGCAGGUCCUAAACUCGCUGCAAUAUCAUAUAUUGGAGAACUCCCCGUCAUUCCUGUAAAUAAGAACUUCAAUUCAACACCUCACCACCAAAAACCAAUAAAUACCGAUAAAUUCACAAACUCCAAACAUCAAUUAUCCCUCCAACAUUUUAAUAAUAAUACCCCCCACAAAAAUACAACACAAUUCACCAUCAAUAAAAAUACACUAUAUAUCACAUAAAUCCAAAAAUGAUUCACUAGCCAAUCAAGAAACAAUAAACAACACCCAUCAAAUCUCACAUCAAAAUAAACACACACCCACAUGCUAAAACCUAUAAAAUACCAAACUUUACCAAAUAAAACAAUAAAAAAAAGCCUAUAUACAUGCUAAAACCCUAUAAAGAUCUAAACUUUACCAAAAAAACAAGAAAAGCAAGAUCAUACCGAGUGAAGCAUCCAACUCGUCCGAGUUACGCAAGAAAACCGAGUCACGUUCUUUCUCAAUUUUCGUCAUCUCGAGAAACAAAGCAAGCUCAUCUUCUUUAUCAAUCAUCCUCAUUGGCAGUCCCGGAACCCUAAAACUCAUCUUUUUCAAAACCCUAAUUUUAUCCCCAAACUUGAAUUAAUUACUAAAUCCAAACCCUAAUUUUUAGAUUCGCAUCUAAAAAUUGAUAAUACACAGCCAAUUCACUCACAUUUGGAUCUGAAUUUCAGCUCAAAUCAACACAAAAAGAACCACAUUUUCAAUUUAUAUACUCACACAAUACUUGUACGUAUAAUUCGUAAAUUUCUAAAUAUAGGUUUUUUUAGUAGUUAAACAUUAAACUAACAAAAAACAUAAAGUUUAGAAAGUUUUGAAAAUACAAAAUACGUAUAUAUGGAUAUUGUUUAAGAAUUAAAUAAGAGUAUUAUUUCAUGAAUAAUAAAUUAAAUAAAAAUAAAUUUUAGAAAUUUAAAAAUGGAGGGAGAGGAGAGGAGAGAGUGGCAUUUUGAGUGAUAAUAAGAGUAGAAAUUGGGGACUCAAUUGAAAUAUAUAAUAAAAGAUUUUAGUUUGGAAUUUACGUUUGUGAUAAAUAUAGAGAGAGAGAGAGGAGAGAGAGGGGAGGUGGGUGAGGGGUGAAUAUAAUAAUGCAACAAACAGCUUUUUUGAAGUUUUUCUCACUUGAAAGUUACGUUAUCUUGUUGCCAAGGGAGAGAGAUACACAUACAUGUGUAUGUCUAUACUAUAGUAUUGUUUUCUUUCGUUUUCUGUUUGCUGAUUUUGUAAUUUACAUUUGGGCUGUCUCUUUUGUCUGCAUAAUCGCCAGAAACGUAGUUCAGAUAAACUAGUAUAGCAGAGUUUUGGGAAUUUUUGAUUUGUUUUCUGAUUAAUCUUCAUUAUUGAUAUAUGAUUACAGAGUUAGGUGUUAUGAAGCAUGUUUUUAAACCGGAGUGUUGAAGCACCAAUCAUAAUUUAAUCAAUAAUAAUAUUUUUAAUUAUUCAAAUUUAUAUAAUUUAUUAUUUAUAAGUAACCUAAAACAUAUUAUCAAUUAAGAGCAAGUCCAAUAUGUUAACUAUCCUAUUACUUAUAAAUAAUAUAAAAUAAUGAGUGCUAGUAUUUCUUAGUGAUUUAGGUAAUCUAUUUUUUGUGUCAACUUCAAUAGUAAUCCCUAUAUUUGUUCGCCUAAAAUUAUUUUAAUAAUAAAUUUGAGAGAGGGGAAAAGAAGAGAAUAGACAAAGAAAGAAGAAGAGAAAUGAUUAUUUUAUUCAUAAAUAUUAAAUAGUUAAUGGCUAGGGGUUACUUAUAAAUAGGUAAUGGCUAGGGGUUACUUAUAAAUAAAUAGGUAAUGGCUAGGAGAAUUAAGGUUGUGCUAGUGAUUUAAGAUAACACUAGGAGUGCAUUUAUUUUUUGACACAUAACCUAAAUGUGAGUUUAGGACAUCACUUAUUGGACUUGCUCUAACCAUUAACAUAAAUUUUUGUGGACUCCAUAGAACUUGACCGCUAAUUACAUUUUGAAUUGAUUAAAAACUCAUGAUUUGUCAAAUUAUUCUCGAUAAACUCUAACAAAAGUCAAUCCAUUAGUUUCGAUUAUGGCUGUAAUUCAAGUCGAGUUUCGAGCCGAGCCUAAUUCGAGCCAAGUUUAAUCGAAUCGAGCCGAGCUGGCUUGAUUAACUAAUCGAGUUUAAACCGAACUCGAUUCGUUUAGUUUCACGAGUCAAGUCGAACUAGCUCAUUUGGCUAAACGAGCCGAUUUUAACGAGUCGAGCGAGCCAGCUCGUAUAAUUUUACACUUAAUCUGCCUAAAACUCUACCUGGACUCGGCUCGUUUAAUUUCACGGGUCGAGUCGAACCGGCUCGUUUAAUUAAACGAGCCGGAACCUCUGCCCGAAUCCGGCUCGUUUAACGAGUCGAGUCGAGCCGAACCCAAUUAAACGAGUUCGAGCUGGCCAGCUCGCGAGCUCCCGACUCGAAUUACAGCUCUAGUUUCGAUUUCUGAUUUUUACUAGCACGACCACCAGAAUAUAUUACUAAUACCAACGUUACCUUGACGGCUUUGUUAAAUUGUUAACCUUCCAAACAGACCCCACCACACCAAGAACAAGGAUGACAUAAAGGGCUGAAUUUACCAUGGAAAAGAAAAUGCUUUAUAUCAACAGCUAACAUUUGCCAUGAAUUAAUAAUCUACAAGGGCCCUUGACCAAUAAUUCUUGGUUGUUGCUCACUCCAGAAUGCAGCAUUACAUGUCAUAUAUGCAUAGGUGCUAAACUAACGUCCACCAUUAACUUCAUGUUGACCAGAUUUUUCAUUCCCACUUGGGUUCAGAAUGUGAAGAUCAUGUUCUUCACAUGAUAUUACUUUUAAGUUGUUGUGUAAUGUAUCCCAGCUACUAUAAAGCGAUGAAUUGAGUGCCCACUUGACCUACAUCAUCCAAAGGGCAUCUUCAGACAGCUAUGCAAAUCUUUAAGGUAGUUAAAUCUAAGAGGAAUUUAGCCUCACAAAUAAAUUACCAAUGCUGACCUGAAAGUUUAAUCUGCGAAAUUUUAAAAAAAAAACGAUGAUAAUUUAUCAUAUGCAGCUCAGUGCCACAUUAUCACAGGGACAACAUUUGGUAAAUGUUCCGUCGCCUCUAGCAUUUUCCUAAAAAAGAUCAAACUUAAAAUGGUAAAAUAACUGGAAAGCAGGGGGAUUUAGAUUAUUAAUUCUUACGAGGAUAAUCAAUAUUUCAUAUUACAUGGAUAGUCUGAACAGAUCAGAGGAGUUCCAGUCUUCUAGAUGAAUAUAAACAAUGAAGACUUGGAACAAUGUUGAUGAAAUUGCACAAAUGUCGGAAAAGAACUGAUUGUUUCGGUAUUUUAGAUAACUAUGAACAACGAAGACUUGUAACAAUGGGAAAACAACAGAAAUCCCCAAUUUUUGAAAUCACCUUGUUGAGUAACAAUGAGGGGAGUAAAGAAUGUACAGAUUGAAAUUAGAGGUCAUUUUAAACAUCAUCAGCGUCACUUCCACUGACAUGAGCUUCAUGAUUCACCCAAUAAUUAGUUCCGUCAGGGCCAGAAAUCUUAAACCUGAGGCAUCAAACCCCCAUGUCAUAAAUCAGUGUAAGUAGACAGAGAACAAGCCAGAUGAACUAUAUUUAAGUAAUUCAAACUAAUUAUUUCACACCUUUCCAGGACCGAUUUUCCUUCCUUGUACUUUUGGCUUUUUUCCUUCGCAGUCUCCUGCAAGAAAUUUGCAUUUAUUUUAAGAAAAAAAAUGUCAGAGAAAGAAACUGCAUCAAAUCAAGCUAUGUAUAUCAAAGUGGAAGCAAAUAUAUGUCAUCUCCUGCAAGUUGAAUUUUCAUCUUACAUAUGUCCAACCGACAAUUGACCCACAUUUCACACAGAAGAUGUCAGCAACAGUAUGCAAUCCAGUCAUCAUCAUCCGUUCUUCCUUCGGCCCAAGAGUGACGUUCACUCUGCUCAGAUACAGGCGGGGAUUUAUAUCAUAUAGAAAAGCUCACAAUUGAGAUAUAAUACGUUGACAAAGGAUUAAGGUGUAUACAAGAGACAUGGUCAAUUCUAAAAGAGGAAACUUUAAGAAGAGAAUCGCUUAAUAUGCAACAAAAUUUAUUUGCGGAAACACAUUUUUUAGCAAGAAGAUGGUGAAUCUUACAACUCACUAAAAUAGGAUUCAAAAUUGAAGUUGUAAGCUAUUCAUUAGGUCAAAUAAACAACUGCAGACAUAAUAUUCCUUCAAUCCAAAUGCUUGUACUAAUUAGGUUUAACAAGACAGUAAGUGAACCGAAUGUACUGCCGCUCAUUCCCUGCCAUGUUUCAUAGCAUAUACCGUAAGUAGCAAGGAAAUGCUACAUUCCUCUAAAACACUUAACCCCCCCAGUGAUAAACUCAUUCUUUGAAUGCAUAAUGAAUCAAGUGAAAAGAACCUCUUAAACUCAGACAGUUCUACCUGCAUACAUUUUCUUUGAUUGUAACCAAAACUCUAGAUACCACCAGCCUAAAUGGUAGAUCAUUUGACUGGUAAGAAAACUCUGGAAGAUAUAAUCAAUAUGUACUUCAGAUGUCCCAUCACACUUUCUAUAUCCUCUACUGUAAAAUAAUCUUAGUUUGCUUCAGUGAUAAGCAAGAAAGACAAAACUUCCUCCUAUUUUCUGUCCAAGUCAGCUGGAGCAUUGCUUUUAACUUCCGACGAAGAAGAAAAAUGACAGAUUAACAGGCUUUGUGGGUCGCGAGAAUUUUAAGAAAAACCAACAAACUCUUUUUAAUCUUUAAUGAUGCCUCCAUGAUCCACAAACAAGAAGAUGAAAGUAUUACAUUUCAUUAGUAACUUAAUGGAGAAAACAAUAUCUUAUUGAUACUAUCUUUAUAGACAGUUUCAAGUUAAGUUCAGGUUUUUCUUUUCGAUUGCUUACCUGCAAAAGAUAUAUAAGCACCUCAAAAAAAAAAAAAGGAAAGUGGAACAAUCGUCGAGUGCUACUGAGUUCACAUUUUGAAAUGAAAAUGAAUAGCAUCAUAUUGUAGGAGCUUGCUAAAAAGCGCUUAAAAAACCAGAAAUGUAUCAAGGUGUAAGUGAAGCCCGGUAUCUAGAAAAACUUACACCCUGCUGAAGAGAUAAGCUUUACCAUGCCUGCAGUGAAAUGACUGGAUAAAAAAGCAGAAGGAAAGACAAUCAGCAUAUUACUUCUUUGCAAUCAGAAUGUUGGACACUAGAAAGGUACAAACAGAAAACAACCUAGGGCUAUCAUAAAAUUCUGUGCACAUAAUAGAGUGCAAACUUAUUAACUUGCAGAAUACCACCAGUAAGUGGAAAUAUUUGGUCUUUGAUAGGGUCUGCCAUCAAUUUUCAAUCAAACUUAGCAAUGUUCAAAUUGCGUAUAUAGACUUCAUAUUCCUCUUUUACAACUUAUGCAAAAGCACGUGCAACCCUUUCAUAGUAACUACUGUCAUCAAUUUCAGCAAUUAAAGAUCACUUGCCAAACACAAAAAAGUUCGAAAAAUUGAUAUUGGAAGGGCAAAAAAUUCUACUCAAUUUACAUUCUAGAAAAUUCUUGAAACAGAAGAUGCGACUGUAGUAAAUUAUAGUUUGAACGAGAUUGUGAGAAUAGAGAAUGCCUAGAUCAACCAACAUGUGAAGCCAAAAUUUAGGAUCCGCAUCAUUUUCAAACUUUACGUUGUGGACUCAUUAAAGAAUUCUUAAAUCUUUUUGGGUUUGUCUAGUGUGUGCCCAUGGGCACAUGCUAAGCACUAAAUUUCAUGAGUUUGGAGGGUUUUGAUUGGUGUGGUGGUUGCAAAUGCAGGGGGGGUCUACCAUUAUUAAAGAGGGUAAGCCAAUCAAAACCCUCUAAAUUUAUAAGUUUUAGUGCUUAGCAUGUGCCCAUGGGCACACACUAGAAAAACCGAAUCUUUUUAACCUAUAAAACAGAAUCUUCUAUCUGCUUUUGAAACGAAUCUGUAUUCAUGCAAACAUGUCGAAGGUAAAAAUAAGCAGCUAGACCCCGAAACCACAUUGAAAAACAACCAAUAGGUUUUCACCUUCCCGAAUAUUACCCAUAAAGCGUAUCUAAUCAUCAAACUUGCAACAAAAAUUAAAUUACACAAACAACCAUGGACUUUUUAGUGAUCCAAGUCCAACAAGGAAAUGACAUUAUUGCGCUUACCACUUUCGCAAACCAAGUUCCACAUUCAGAAUGAAAUUUGUGAUCUGAUACAGUUCUCAUUAUAGCUCAAAAUGUAGUUAAGCCUUUUCAACUGACUAACAACACAAUCUUGUUGCUAUUAUAGAUAACCAUGUUAAUGUAUCCAAUCAGUCAAACCACACUAAAAAUUCUAAUAGCCAAUCAUAAUCACAAAAAUCAUCAGACUAGACAAAACAACAAAAUCAAAACCCCACAUACUAAAAACAUAAUAAUUGAAUUAAUUACCACAAAGAUCAAUCAAACCAACAAAAACCCACAAAAAAUGAUCAAGAAUGAAAUAAAAAAAAAAAAAGGCACCUUUGAAACUAUGCUGUCACAUAGAGCAAGAUGAGUAUGGCAGUGCUUGCAACUAUAGAUCUUUCCUUCAAGAUUCACCAAAAACAAUCUCCCCAUCUCUCUCCCUAUCUCUCUCUAUCUCUCCCUUUAGGACUAUAUCUCACCUACUUUCCUUCAACUGCAGACUAGCUAAGAAGAAGCCAAUGAAUAUAUGACUGUGUAAUAAACAAUAUUAUAAAUUCUUGUCUACAGCAAAUAGAAAAAAUGGUUAAAAAAAGGAAUUAAUAAACUAAAGAGGUGGAUGGAUAAAGAUUGAUUGGAAGGAACGUGAAGCAAAGGAUAAAUAAUGGUGAGAAGAAAAGGAGAAAUGCAAAGACACAAACACAAGAGAUAAAGAGAGAGACCGUGGGAAUGUAUGUGAUUAUAGUAAAACAUAGGAUUACUGUAUGGGUAUGUAAAAAGUAAAAUAUUGUAAAAUGUGUAAGUAUAGACUACAGAGAGAUAAAUGUUUGAAGUGAAAUGGUGACCGACUACUAUCAGAAAAUUGACCGCUCACAGUAAAUCUGGUAAUUCUGUUAAUUUCCCACUCUCCUUUACUCUUUACCGUGUGUGUGGAAUUCUUUUUCAAUCUCGUCAUGCAACGAUGGUCUUCUCCUUACACAUAUCUCGUCAAUAUUUAUUUAUCUUUUUUAUUUAUUAUAAAAUGAUAAAUAUAUAAAUCAUAAAUUUAUAUUGACACGGAUGUUAUAAACAUACUCAAAACUUUAAACUUGAUUGCUCUCAUGAGUAAAUAAUGCUUUCUCCAAUUUAGUUGUAUGUUCGAUCAAUAAGGGGGUGUUUGGUCCUGCAAUUUAGCUGUAUGUUCGGCCAAUAAUAAUAAUAUAAAAAAGGUAUUUGGUCGAAUUUAAAAUCACAGUCUCUAGAUUUACAAGCUUGUUAAAACUAUCCAAUAUAUGUUUCACGAGAAAAAUUAUAUGAAGUUCAUAUUUAUAAUGAUAUUUUGGAGUAUCAUUCUCGAAAUGAGGAUAUUAUUUAUGAUUAAAUUCAAAAUUUACGAUCAUCCUCCGAAACUUCAACUUGAAUGUGCAUUCGAUAUGAACCCAUUCUUGCGAAGUGUAUUCAACUCUUGCGAAGUGCAUUAGAGCAUCUCCAAGUUGGCAUACUUAAAAUAAAAAAAAAUUAACCAACAGCUCGAAAAACUCAACUCCAACCAUCCUCGGCUGUUGUCUAUAAAUUUAGCCAACCUCCUAUGAAUGGCUAAAUUUGUCGAACCUCUACAGAUCUGUAAGGACAUCUGUAAUAAGAUUGCACAUCAUUUAUUACCAUAUCGAACUGAUAUAUUCUAUUUUAAUAAUCUAAAAUAUUAAUAACAUAUUAUUUUUAAAUUAUCGAACUGAUAUAUUCUAUUUUAAUAAUCUAAAAUAUUAAUAACAUAUUAUUUUUAAAUUAUAGCCAACCAAUAUAGCCAAUAUCAUUGAAGCAAAAUGCCUUACAGGUUCAUCAAAUUUUACAUAAUGUCUUACAGAUCUCAUUUAGCCAAUAAUUAUAGCCAACGCCGUUGGAGAUGCUCUUACACCAGGAAAGAAUGUCUUAUCUUAUUCUUCAUUAAUAAAUUUUUACUUUUUAAAAAAUUAAUGUAUACUCCCUCCGUCCCCCUCAAUCAAUAUACUUAUAUAAAGGAGGAGCGAGGGGCGUGUAGGUGGCGCCUCUCACAUCGCUCCGUUCUAUUUUUCUAAUUUUCUGGAAUUUGUGGAAGAAAAAUAUCAAAAAAUAGAACUACCUUUUUUAGUUUUGGAUAUAUUAGAAGCAAGUUUCAGAAUCUGAUUUUGUUUUAGAUUAUUUAUGGAAUAUAGCAGCUUGAAAAUUUUAAUCUGAUUUUGUUUCAGAUUAUUUAAUCAUGGGAAAGAGUAGCACACAAGUCUUUCUGCACUUAUAAAUACAAGGUUUUGGAUCAUCUAAACACAACCUAAUCUCUCUCAAUACCACAACUCUACCUCUCUCUCGUGAUAGUUCUCUUGCUCGAUUUCUGAUCUUGCUCGAUUUCUGACUCGGUGGUACUUUUCUUCUGCAACGAUAAGUGAAGGUUGUUUAUACGGUAUUUAAAAAAAAUAAAGGUUGUUUCAAGCAAAAGUAGUUAUAGACCGCUAUGUGGGAGUCGACAAAUCCAAACACGGGAGAAGAAUAUAGUCUUGACAUGAUUUUGAUGGAUGAUAUCAAUAAAUUAACUAUUAGUGAUGUAUGUUUGUUGGUUAUUCUUUUAUAAUAUCUGUUUUGUUCAUCGGACAUGUUUGUUGUUGUUAAUUUACAUGAUUUAAUUUGUUUACAACAAAAUAUUAUUCAUGUAUUAUCUGUUUACUCCGUUCAAGCAACUUUUAAGUGAAUGCUGUUUAUACAGUAUUACAAAAUAAAGGUUGUUACAAGGGUAGUAUAGACCGCUAUGGCGCUAUCUCACGGAUUUAAGUUAGAUGUUUUUGUGCACAAUCAAUCAAAAAAAUUGGAGGAAAGUGACAAUGUAAGAACAUGAUUACUUUUAAAAAAACACAAAUAAAAUUAAGAUUCGUCGUGCUUUAAAUUGUUAAUUACGUGUAGAAAUUUAUUUUCAUUUUUUCACCAUAAAUUAUAGUCCAAUUUUACAAUUUUAUAUAUUAGUAUUGGUAUUUCAUCAAGAUUUUUAUAAUAUAAAAUUUAUUUUAUCCUACAAAUAUUAAUAUUUAAUCAUUAAUAUACUUUUUAUGGACAGCCACAAAAUUAUUGCAUUAUACAAAUAUUAAUAUUGAAUUAUUAAUAUAAGUGUUAUAAGCCGCCGCAACGCGCGGUUUCUCAACUAGUUGUUUAUAUUGGGGGAUGUGGAUAUGGCACACAUUCUAAUAUUCUCAUAAUAUAUAGUUUGAUAAAUUAUUUUGAAUUUUUUUUCUUUUGAAAUAAAUAUUUACUAUCGAAACUUUUAUAUAAAAUAGAAAAAUUUCAGAAAAAAAAUUAUAAAACUAUAGUUUAUAUGCGUCUUAAAAUGCGUGUUAAAUGAGAGGGACAAAGGGAGUAAUAUUUUCUAAAAAUAAAUAUUUAUUACUUUUUUAACAUUUGUUUUUUAAAAAUAUAAAUAAGUCUUUAUUAUGAGCAGCUCAUUUUUAUUUAACAGCACAUAAUUAUGUUUUGCGUAGGUUCAAAUUAAGUUGAUCUAACUAAUACAUGAAUAAUAUUUAUUGUAAUCAGCUGGAAUUAAAUUAUUUAGAAUCUGAGUUUUUUUAUUCGGAUAGAGAUAGUCUAAUUCCAUCGUGCAGAUAAAUAGUUAAGAUCGAUUCAAAUGGCAAAACUACCGGGCCAGACGAUGUAUGCAUUUGUACAAGAUAUAAUCGCAAGUUUUCAUGAAAAUAUGUUCAAAUGGGAUCGCAUUCUUACUGGGCUUUCUAACUCUUUAGCGUCCACCUCCAGACUCGAUAGAUCCACCAUCCAAGUUCAGACUUAAAAAACUUACUGCAUUUUAAGUCUUUCAUAUUAUAGUUAAAGCCCAUUAGUUUAGCGCUUAAAACCAUACCUCCCUGUGUCCGUUUUAGGUUAAUUUUUGCACAUUGUAUUUUUUUAGGCUUAUAUAAAUUAUAAUUUCAUAAUAAUUUUUUUAAAAAUAAAUAUUUGAAUAAAACUCUGGAGUUUAAUUUUUUAUUUUAAAAAAUUAGAAAAACGUUAUGUAACUAUAUUUUAUAUGAAUUUCAAAAUACGUGCAAAUAUUGAACGAAACCACCUGUUAUGCAAACUAGGGUUAUAAGAGCAACUCCAAUGCACCUAUUCCUUACCUAUAUUUGAUCUACAUGGACAAGAUUUGAGGGUUAAGAACAAAAAAAGCUCCUCCAAGCUCCAACGCAACUCCCUAUCCCCUAUUAAUUUUAGGUGAGAAAAAGUUCAACCCCUUAUUCGAGGGAUGAAAAAGCAACCCCUAUAUGCUCCAGGUCAUCACCAGCUCAUAUCUCCUCUUAUUUUUCUGUUAUUUAUUAGUGCAAUCUUUCUCUCUACUUGAGUUGUAUAUAUAGAUUUAAAAUAUAGGGAAUGGAACACCGUUGAAGCAAAAUAGCUUUUUGAUCCCCAAUAUUUUAGGUAACCAUUAAUGUAUAUAAUAUUUUAGGGGUUGAAAAUAGGGAAUAAUAUAAUAAAAAUUCGCAUUUCAAAGAACAAAAUUUUUAAUUAUAAAUACUAACACCUGAAUAUGAGAUUAUGAUUCUCAUUAACAGUAUCAUCAUCAAACACACCAUAAUCAAACACACCAUAAUCUUAAACUAAAAUUUUGGAAGACGAUCAUUAUGUUCUAGUACAAUCUUCUAUAUCUAUAUAAGAAAGGGAGACAAAAAGGGCAUCUACUUUAGAAAAGAUGAAUGAUAAAUUGGUAGAAUACAUGUUAGAGCAAGUCCAAUGGUGAGCUAAAAAUAGGUGUAGCUAUUGCUAUAAUAUAGCACCAAAAAGUGGUUUUUGGUGCUAAAAUAAUAUCACAUCUCCAAUGGUUGGUGCUAUAUCUUGUGCCAAAUUUCACCAACUCUCCAAUGUACUUGAAUAGGUUGAGAUAUAAAUCUAUUUUUUAUUCAUUUCCCUCCACUUUUUUACUUUUUGAUGAAGUGGCAAUUAUAGCUAUUGCUAUAGUUUGUGCUAAAUAUAGCACCAACUAUAGCAAUAUGCUAUUUUAGCACCAAGUUUAGCACACUAUUGGAGUUGAAAUUUUUUGAUUUUGAGCUAUAAUAUAGAUAUAGCACAAGAUAUAGCUCACCAUUGAACUUGCUCUUAUGCAUGUACUGUAAAGUUUAACGUAGCAGAUAACGAAUUAUAAUUUCAUGCGGUGAGUGUCGGAACUUUGUCGCCGGAAAGCAACUUAGUGGUGGUCACGUGGUCGCGUUUGAUAUGACAUGUCAUAUGUGUGUAUUAGAUAGCCUUGCACUACAAUUUUAAGUGCACGGCAAUAUGGCAUCAUCUCUCUCAGAAAGCAAAGAAAUAACAACUUAAAUAGUUAAAUUUAUUGUCUUUACAAUUACUAUAUAUCUUGAAACUAUACUAACCAAAGAAACUGCGUUUUUUGUAUCAUAAACAUUAAACAGCGUACUUAGAAAAUCUAUCACCUUUGAUUCAUGGGUACAUACUUUUGCUCAUCUUCGUAAUGGUUGGUCGUCCACAUCAUAUAGUUCAAGUUCCCUCGAUAGUUAAAUAUGUAACAUUAAUUAUGUUAGUAUUUUCCAAAAAUAAUACUCUCUCAUCUUUUAUGAGGUUUGAUCAUAUAUCUUGAAUUAAUAUUUUUGAAUAUUUUUAUUAAAUAAAUAUAUUAAUAUUAUAGUUUAUUUGAAAAAAUUUAUAAAAAUAUUAAUUUUUAUUACGUGGUCCAAGCAUUUAUAGUUAUGUGUAUAUAGUCAAAUAAUAUAUAAAUAAAAUCAGCGAGUACAAUUUUUUGAUGACUAAAAACUUCUUUACUAAAUUUUUGAACGUGAACAAAAUGAAUGACACGAAUGAAGAAGUAAGGGGCCGUUUGGGUUAGUUUAAAAGGAGUGAUUUCUUGCUUAUAGUAAAGAAGUGGAGUAGAAAUGAGAAGUAAAAAAAUUAAUAAAGUGUUUGGAAAAGAAGCAGAAGUUGUGAGAUAGAAGCUAGCAUUUUCAGCUUCUUAAAAGUGCUUCUAUUUCUUUACACAAACGGGUCAAGAGAAGCAGAAGCCAGAAGCAGCUUCUGCUUCUACGAACCAAACAAGCCCUAAGUCUCUUGUGGAUUGGGAUUGAUCCUAUUAAUCGAUACUCGUAUUAACUAAAAAACCCAAUCAACUUGUCAAAUUUUUGCUAAAAAACUUUGAACUUUUGUUUUUCUUAACAACUCCAGAAAACUUUACUAAAAAUAUGAAAAUAAAUACAAAAUAAACUAUGGUUAAAUCUACCAAUGUGACUUGUCAGGUAUCUUUCCCUUAUUUGUAUCUUUUUAUACACGUGUGUGCCACACAUUGCGCCUAGUCAUUAAUAGGAAUAAUUUAUAAUAUGAUAGUUGUUGGUUUAGAUUUAAAAAAUAAAAUGAAAACAAGUGAAGAAUGUGUGAUACUGGCAGAUUAUUGUAAAGGCUGAGGUUGAUGUUCGAAAUAUAUUAAUGAAGUUAUCAUUUUGACGUAAUCAGAGGGUGUGUUAAAAGAUUAGCAGAUGACGAUGUUAUUUUUGACUCCAUUCAAUACAAAAUUAAGGAGAUGGAACAAUUUUUUAUGUUUUCCUGAGUUCACAGGUUUGGUUGAGGUGUCUCCCGCGACUGAUUUUUAUAGAGUUUUAGGGGGUGUUUGUUUGGAGUUGCUCAGGACUGCUGAUUGGACAGAGUAUAUGAUUGAGUAAUUUGUUUGUAUUUUGGUGGAUUUUCUUGUGCUAAAUGGAUAAAAUAUGUCUUACUCAAUUCAGAGUUCCCAUUCUGCUGCCUGAUGUACUGCACCUGAAACUUGGUUAAUUGUUUAUGUUCGAGUAACUAAAUAAAGAUUUCACACAUUAAUAUACACCAUAAGAUACAUUUUUUCUACAUAGAAAAUCAACCAAGUAGAAACGAGGUGGAUGAAAUAACUGGCACGAGCCUUCAGUCGCAAUAACUAUAUAUGACGGCAGAGCAAUUCUCAGUCUGUUCAUUGUUUGAAUGAGACCCUGGUACUUUCCUGUCGUAAUGAGCCGAUCAACUAUCUUAAAGCUGGUUUUAGAGGUGUUGAUAUAUUUUUCAGUUAUUUUUUUUAUUAAUUAUAAUCAAUUUGUCACAUAGGAUAUGUGAUGAUCAUGUUCAGUCUACAUCAGUUAUAAGUAACUCUAGUCUCUAGUUAAAUGUUUUUUUAAAGAUUUAGUAAAAUUUAUUGGGGUUAUUGGUGAAAAAAAAGUUUAUAAGUGUUUUGGCAAAAAAAAUAACAAUUUAAUUAGUUUUUUGAUUAAUAGCUCCCAAUACUCCAACAAGAACAUACGUAAGAGAUCAAACCUCGUGGUGGGUGAGGAUUUUGAAGUGCUGGGAAUUGAAACAAUUUUCCCUCAAAACUCCUGAAGCAUAUGGGAAUUAAAGCUAGGAUGAUAAUCAAAUAAACUAAACCAAUCCGACCUAUUUUUGACAGACUAACUCGAUGUAAAAUAUCUAAUAUUUUGUUUAAGAACUUCUCAUGUUCGGCACCUGUUUUAUGCUUUCGGCAAACUCAAGUAUUUUGUAUUUUUAAGUCUCUCAAACCAAUUCAUUUACGUUAAAAAAAUUCAUAUAUUUCAGGCAUGUAAAUAAAAUAUUAAUUUUGUGAAACUAGAUAUGUAAUAAUUUUUAAUUGUAUUUAUAAUAAAAGAAAAAUUAAAAAAUAAGUUAAUUUAGUUCCGGAUAAAAUGAUCAUCAUCGCUGACCCAAGAACAAAAGCAAAAAAGACUCUUCUAAGAAUCGAAGUCACGGAAGAAAAAUGUAAUAUCGCGUAUGUCAAGAAUAUGAACUUUUCUGUAAACGUAUUUAUCCGAUCUAACGUGACUCUGAGAAGUUUAUGUUUGGCACCUGUGGUUAAACGAGGGCAGAGAAAUUAAAGAUACUAUGGAGGAAUAAGAGCAAGUUGGCAAUCGAAGCAGACAAAAAGUAUAUAGGUCCAUUUGUUCGAUUACUCGUCAAACUAUACCUCUGCCGAAACCGACUGCAAUUUACUUGAUUAUCCAAAUUUGUAUACGCCUAAUCCUUUGUACACGAAAGAGAUAGCAUCCUUGUUUUAGACUUUAGCGAAUUUUCUUUGACUAGGGAUCCUCUUGCUCCUAAAUUUUCCAUAUCUCUCUCGAAAUUGUUGUGGUCCGGAAAAUGUAACCCUUUCCGGUCAAAUAAUCAUUUUUUUUAAUUUUAAAUUUGAAAGGACGUCGAGAAUGUCUAGAAUAUGAGAGAGGAAGUGUUUGUAAGAUCUUUUGUUGAUUACCUAAAAUUAUUUGAAAUUUCUUAAACACAAACAAUAACUAAUAUAUAUUAAUUUGACACUAUUUUUGGAUCAAUAUGUGAUGAAUUAUUGGUUCCACUAUAAAAAAUCUAGUUUUGAAGCUGGAAUGUUAUAAAUAUAUAAUCAAAAUUGAAUUAGUAAGAAUUUUUAUUAAAAAUAAUAAUUUUCACUAUGUGACGACCCACCCAUCAAAUAAUAUAAUAUGAAUGUCAUAUAAUAAAUAAUAACAAAAUUAUGAAUAAAAUGUCUCCUCCAAACCUGUUGUUGGAGAUGUUACCCUCUGAAUUUUCAAGUUAAUGAGAAUUUCUACGUUCAAAAUAAAAAAAUUAUACUAAUUCCGUCCCCCUCAUUGGGGCUCGGCACGCAAUCUAAUGCUCUCGUAAAACGUAGUUCGAUUUAUUAUUCUGGACCAUUUUUCCUUUGAAUAAAAAUUUGAUGUUUAAAUUUUUAUACAAAAAAGAAAAAUUUUAAAAAUAAGUUACAGAACUAUGUUUUGUAUGCAUCUUAAAAUGCGUGUCGAACAGUGUGAAAAAACUGUAAAGAAAUGAGAGGGACACGGGAAGUAAAAAUGAUGCACCCCACUAUUUGUAUAAUUUUGAAAAGGGUUAAUUAUCAAACUCAAAGUGGACAAAUGGUAUCAACUUCAUCACUGAUCUCCACGGAGUCUCAAUUGGCUCAUUAAACUCGCUUAAUGGUAUCAAACUCAUCACUUCCGUUAAAAAAAGUAACCGAAGUUUAGACGUAAUAACAGAUUGGCCGCAGAGUUUGACAUAUGGCAUGCCAAAUAAUUUGAAGUUUAUAUAAAAUAAAUUAUGCAAUCUUUUUAUUGAAUUAAUUUUAGGAUAUAAUUAUCUAAAUAAAUGCAUUGAACUAAAUUUUAAGAUAUAAUCAACUAAACAUCCAAAAUUUUAACAUAUGAAGCAGCAUACAUUGUUCAAAUCUUCAAAAACAACACAUAAUGUUUAUACAACAUACCUUUUAUUUUCCUUCAUUUGUUUUUCUUCAGUCUUUUUUAUUAAUGUGCCACGUCAACCACCAAUCUGUCAUUCCGUCUAAAUUUUUGCUAUUUUUUUUAGCGACAAUGAUGAGUUUGAUACCAUUAUACGAGUUUAAUGAGCCAGUUGAGAUCCCGUAAAGAUCAGUGAUGGAAUUGAUACCAUUUGUACACUUCAGAGAUGAGUUUGAUAAUUAACCAUUUUGAAAAUAAUUUCAUACUAUGUGAACCAAGUUGAUAGUUUAUCUCUAGAGAUGCUUCUCGAAAUGAAAACCAAAUUUACAAAACCGAGAAAAGCGUAGCAUGUUCGUAGGAUAUGUAGAGCAUGGAGAAGCCUAUAUAUGCCGAGGCAGAGAUCACACGUGGGCACCUGACACCACCCAUUCGUGCGUAGCAGUAAAUGUGAAUGACAUUGAAAGCUGGCGUAAAUUUCCAAGUGCGUGUGGGAGUACUUUCUUUGUAUCUGCAUGUUCAUUGUUCAGGCCUCUGCUCUGAGAUCAGUGCCUGUGUUCUCCGGACUUUGACUCUUCACAUCACUUCAACAUUACAAGAUUCUGUUGAGCUACUUAGGCUUUUAGAUAAAUUCAUGAUAGGAGUAUUUAUUUGUUCGAAGUUAUAGUCAAAGUGAGAGAUACCUAAUCAAUUAAGCUGGUGAUUAAUCGUGAUUAAUUUGUAUCUCAUGACUUAUCAAAAUAUCAGAUCUUUGAUUAAUCUCUAAUUAAUUCAAUUAAUCUUUGAUUAAAUUUUGUUUCGUACUCACCGAUUAUAUUAUGUAUAUACAGUAAAUCUUUUUUUUUUGACAGGAGUAUAUACAGUAAAUCAAUCUCUUAAGUUUGUAUUUGUAUGCUCAUUUGUCCUCGGUCUAAAGAUAAAUUAUAUUAUGUAUAUCAAAGAUCUUGAUUAUUAGUAUUUUAUUGGACUUUAAUAUUUAAUAGAUAUUUUUAUAAAGUUUUAGAAUAUUAAUUACUGAUGGAUGAUAACUAUAUUCAAUUCAUCUUAUUUAUGUGUAUAUGUAAUUGUUUUUUAAAAUACUUUCAAUUGAAAAGGCAUAUACUCUCACUUAACCACUUAAUUUGCGAGAAGCUCAAAGGACCAUACAUAUACAUAUUUUGUUUACUUAUCUCAAUUUUUGUAAAAAUAAGUUACUUGAAUCUAAAUAAAUAAAUAUAUAUAUAUAUAACAAAUUUAUUUAUAUAGCUAAAAAUAAUUAAACAUUUAUUAGAAUAAAUAUAUAAUUUUAAAAAUAUUAUGUAUAUAUAAAUUGUUCAUCAAAAUAAGUGAGAAAAUUUCAGCCAAGCAAUUACUCCCCGGGACGACGGAGAAAUUAUUGACCUGGGAUAUGCUCACUGACUAUGACAACGCAAUUCUCAUUCUAAGAGCGAGGGCUGCUAUUAACAGAAUUGAUUAUUUAUUUGAUAAGAAAUGAUACAAAGGACUCGAAUUUUACUUGAUUAAUAUUGUAUUAAAUUAGAUAUAUUGUCUGCUCAAAUAAUAUAAAGGUGUUCCAAAAAUAUUAAUAACGAUUAUCAAACAAAAUGAAUUCAAUUAUCAUGGUAAACUAUAUCAAAACUAUACUUGGAUUUAGUCGAUUUAAUAAAAAUUCUAGCAUUUAUAUCCUAAUAAUUUUCUAAACAUAUUUCGAAUAAAGCAAAAUUAUAGUUUGCAACUAUGCAGAUACUUGAAGUUGAAGGAGAGUAAGUUGUUCUAUCUAAAAGAACUUAACAUGGUAGAUGAGAUUUGUUUUGAUUUUGUGGUCCUAUUCUACUUUAAACUUGUGAAAUGUCAUUAUCUACACAAUGCACCCUACUUAAAAUUUAGACCUGUGCUCAGUGGUCCAGCUCUAAUAAGUGUAAAAUACUUUUUUUCAUUCUAGUAAAAUUUUAUUGAACUACUUUCGUAAAUUAUGAAUCAAAUAAAAUUAAAUACAAAAAAUACAAAAUUUAUGAUAAUAAACCAGGCUUACAGUUUUCCAUGGCUCUGUGUUAUAAGGGGAAAUUCUGUCUUGCGAACUAUUUGAGACAUGAAUGGAUAUUUGUAUCUCCACAUCCAAAUUAAUAUUAUAAGUUUUCAAUGGUAUUUCUCUACAAGAAAAUAUGUUAAAAAACAUUAGCAUGAUUUUAUGUUUACUGAUUAAUUUUUUUGUAAAACUAUUACAGUUAAUAUGAAUUCAGAAAGAAAUCUACGCAAAGAACAGUGAGAUUCCUAAUUCCCACACGUAGAGCAAACUAAUUUUCACCCAAGAUGUUCGAGCAGACUGCAGAGAGUAUAAAAAGAAAAAAGAACGAAUAGAGUGGUUCGUAAAUUUCUUUUAUUAUGCUUUAGUUUUUUCACAAAAAAAAAAACAUAAUACAUGAAUAAAAAAUUCUCGAACAAAAGAAAGAAACAUGUGAAAAUUUUUGAGAGAUUCUCGCUAAAUAUCUUUUUCCCGGGAGAUUUAUUUACAAUUUUGACGCUGCUAAACACUGCUUUCUCUGGUUUCAAUCGUAGUUGAAAAUGAAAAAGAAGGAAAAUUGAAAAAAACGAGAGGUCAAGUAUUGGUUAACGGAUUGAAUUAUAUUGAAUUAUAUGUUUUGACUGAAAUGAAUAUUUUGAUUAACGGAUUGUGUUAUUAAUUUCUUGUAAAAUUAUUUGUUAAAUAACUGUUUGAUUAGUUUUUUUACGACACACACUCAACUUUUUUAACCCAAAUCUUUGUUUCAAUCCAUUGAAACAGAAACACUAAUGUUGUGUUUGGUUGGGGAGAAUGGAAUGGAAUAGAAUGAAAUGAGUAAAAAUAGUUGAAACUAAUAGAGAUGGGAAGAAAAUUUGAAAAAAAAUCGAGAGAGUGCAAAAUUGCUAUGAUAAGAUUUGAGAAAAAUUGAGAAUAUGAGAGGAUGGAGCAUUCCAUCUCAAAUUGAAGGUGUGACAUCUAGCCUAUGAUGUAAAGAAUGAAAUGGAGGAAAAAAUGAAAUUUCUUAAAAACUGUUCAUAAGAUAGUUCAUUUUUCAUUCCAUUCCUUCCGAAAUCAUUCACUCCAACCAAAUACAACAUAACAUUAUAUCAAAAUGAUCAAAACUCGAACACAUUUUAAACAUCUAAUUUCAUUUCAAACCUCUAACUCUCAAAGACUCAAACUACUGUACGACAAUAACCGCGUGCAGGACAACUGUGAUGUCAACAUUUCUAUUAAGAACGAAAAACGGUGCAGUAGAUAAACUAUACACAAGCGAGAACACAUUCGAACGGCAAAGGCAAAAACUACCCCCAACGAAAAAAAUAACUUUCCAUCCGCGAGAUUUCAAAACAGGAAUGUAAUAUUAGAUACGGAGAUUCUUAGAUAUCCGACAUUAAUUUGUUUCCUAACCCCCUUUAUUUUCUCUCUCCCCGUUAUAGAUUUUCUUUCAGAUAACCCCCUCGUGUGCACCGCCCCAUCCCCCAACCAGCUUCUUUUUAAGCACAACAUUUAAACACACUUUUCUCGAUUCACCAUCUUUUAUUAUCUACCAUAACAUGGACUCCAUCUCUCUCCUCAUCUCUAUCCUCGUCUCUCUCUCCGUCUCUCUCGUCUCUCUCCUCGUUUUUCGCUCCACCACGCGCCGUGACCGCCGCUUGCCACCCGGGAGCCUCGGCCUACCUCUUAUCGGCGAAACUCUCCAGCUCAUUUCCGCUUAUAAAACCCAAAACCCUGAACCGUUCAUUGACGACCGGGUCGCUAAGUACGGGUCCAUUUUUACCACACAUGUUUUCGGUGAACCGACGAUUUUUUGCGCUGACCCGGAGACGAACCGGUUCAUUUUGCAGAAUGAAGGGCGGCUUUUCGUGUCGAGUUAUCCCGGUUCGAUAUGUAAUUUGUUGGGUAAACACUCGUUGCUUUUGAUGAGAGGGAAUUUGCAUAAGAGAAUGCAUUCUUUGACCAUGAGCUUUGCAAAUUCUACUAUUAUAAAAGAUCAUUUGUUGGGCGACAUAGACCGGUUGGUUCGGACCAAUCUUGAUUCUUGGACCGGCCGGGUUCUUCUCAUGGAGGAAGCCAAGAAGGUACGUCCGUAACUCACUUCACUUCCUCAGUUGUAAUACUACAGUCACUGUCUUUUUCUGUUAAAGUCAAUAUAAUAUUUUAUUAAUAAAUAUAUUAUGUGAAUAUUCUGAGUUGAUUAAAUAACAACUUUUGAGCCCAAUUGGAUAAUCAAAUCGGUUUAUUCUUUGUUAUCUCGAAUAUCAGAGAUCGACUGGCGCUCACCUGAUACUCAUUUACAAGACAAAUAAAUCUCGAUGAUUUUUGUGUGUGAAUAUUCUUUGGCAUCUUACGAUAAAAAUUAAAAAAUCUGGAAAUAUCAAAUAUUUACAUUUUGGUAUAGAUUAUUAAAAAGAGUGGACGAUAAAUUGAUAAUAAAAGAGACAAGGCAUAUGAGAAUGCAAAUGGGUUGGGUUGAUGAUAUGAUCACAAAACAUGCACAUCUAGCUUUUCACGAUUCCACAAAGUGUGUGUGUGGAAAGAUGGUGUUAUUGAUGGGGAGGGACCAAGUGACCAACAUGAAUACGUAUUUUUAUUAGUACAUGCUUUAGCCACAUCGAGUAACAUGUACAUGUGUGGUGAUCAUGUUUCACUUUGCCUUUUUUCUACUGAUGCUGAUUUUUUUAAAAAAAUAAAUAUUUUUGAUGGAUUGUUUUACUAAUUGAUGUAAUAAUGAGAAUGUUUUGUGAGGGUGCAGAUCACGUUUGAGUUGUCGAUGAAGCAGCUGAUGAGCGUUGAUCCUGGCGAGUGGAGUCGAAAUCUGAUGAAGGAGUACAUGCUUAUGAUUGAAGGCUUCUUCUCCAUUCCGAUCGCCCUCUUCUCUCCCACCUACCGUAAAGCCAUUAAGGUGUGUGUUCUACAUUCGCGUAAAUAUCAUGGUCAUUAUCCUGUUUAUUUGCGGAACAUAUAUGAUUUUUGAGAUCUCCGAUAACACAGUGGUCUUCAUGUAACUCCGUCCAAGUAAAGUGUUCAAAUAUUACAAUGAUAUAUAAUCUGAUAAUCCAAUAUAGUUAAAGUGAUUUGUACUUGUGACUGAUAAUUUAUGCGGAUGGAAAUUGUUUUUACAAUAUUGUAUAAGAGGAACUGAUGAUUUGUACACGAACUCGAAAGUACAAAAUUAGAUUUUUAGUGCAUUUUCAUUUACAAUAUAAAACAGUAUUUGAUAUAAUAUGUGUCAUGUGAUGGGCAGGCCAGAGGGAAGGUGGUUGACGCACUAAGCUUGGUGGUGAGAGAGAGGAGGAGAGAGAGUGAGAAAGGAGGGGAGAGGAAGAAUGAUAUGCUGGCAGCACUGCUGGCCGGAGACGGAGGAGUUGGAUUCUCCGACGAAGAGAUCGUAGAUUUCUUGGUGUCUCUCCUGGUGGCUGGUUAUGAAACCACUUCUACUAGCAUGACUCUGGCUGUUAAGUUCCUCACAGAGACUCCUCUGGCUUUGGCUCAGCUCAAGGUUGGUUGGCCCUUUCUCUUCAUUUUGUAUAUAUGUUUUUACAAAAGUAGCCUUUCAUUAAUGGACAAGAAAGGGAGAGAUCCCCACCACCCCUUAAUCAACCAUCAUGCAUUGUUGGCUAUCUUCCAACCCGUUGCUGUUGAUAUAUAAUUCAUCUAUCUUUUUCUCGAAUUCUCAAUCAAGCAUAUCAUGGACCAUCGCUAUAUAAUUAUACGUGUUAUAUUUAACUUCUCAAGUAAUGAUUAUGAAUUUACAUAAUACAUAUGAGAUUGUCACUUCAAUUUACAGUGCGAUUAUAUGUGCACGUUAAUACAGUACCUAUUCGUGAUAUAUAUAUUAAAAUUUAUUUUGGUCUCUUGUUACCCUGAUAGUAUAAGAGCAUAAUCCUGUAUCCCUACUUGGUCAAAGGUUUCACCUUUCGUUACCUUGGUAAUAUCGGAAGGUGUCGGACACUCGGCACACUACAAUAUUUGACACCUUGGUAAUAUAACAAGACCCUGUACAUAGACACUGUGAUAUAACCAUAAGAGUUGUGUUGAUAAGAAUCAUGAGAUGCAAAGAAAUGAUGCGAUUCAACUAUUCAAGUCGUGACCGACAAUAGUGCCCAGCCAUGCAAAAAUAUUGUUAAUGGGAGAAAACGACCGACUAGCUCCCUCUUCUGGUAGGCAUGGCCUAUGAUCUGUAGCUAUAGGCUACACAGCUUUAGCUGUCCCCACUUUAAUGGUCACAGCUUAUAAAUUUCUUGUCUCUGCUCCCCCUUCACACGUGAGGUUUGACGUACCAGUUACUUCAGAAAGUACAGUAUCCAGUUGGGAGGUCCAUGUAGUCAGAUUACUAUCUCCUCCAUUCAACUCUGUACUUCACUCCUUGCACAGAGAGAUGUACAAUAAUCUUACAAUAAUCUCUCUCACACAUAAAAAUUUGAUUAAUAGUGAUCAACAUCGAGUGUUGACGGUUUUCGGAGGUGAAAUUAUGUAUAAAAAUUUUACGAAUAGUAAUUAAUAUCGAGUGUUAACGGUUUUCGGAGGUGAAACUAAUGUCCUUAAAAUUGAGAAGCAUUGGAGGAAGUGUGAUAUUUAGGGAAAUGGCAUAUUUUAUACUCCCUCUGUCCCAUUUAAUUGUAUACGUUUCUUUUCAACUGCUCGACACGCAUUUCAAUGCUCUUAUAAAAUAUAGUUCCGUAACUUAUUUUUGAGAUUUUCUUUUUCUGAAUAAAAAUAUAACAUCCAAACUUUAAUUCAGAAAAAGAAAAUUUUAAAAAUAAAUUACACAACUACACUUUACAGGAGCAUUAAAGUCCGUGCCGCGUCCCCGUUACUACUCAGGGGGACNNNNNNNNNNNNNNNNNNNNNNNNNNNNNNNNNNNNNNNNNNNNNNNNNNNNNNNNNNNNNNNNNNNNNNNNNNNNNNNNNNNNNNNNNNNNNNNNNNNNNNNNNNNNNNNNNNNNNNNNNNNNNNNNNNNNNNNNNNNNNNNNNNNNNNNNNNNNNNNNNNNNNNNNNNNNNNNNNNNNNNNNNNNNNNNNNNNNNNNNNNNNNNNNNNNNNNNNNNNNNNNNNNNNNNNNNNNNNNNNNNNNNNNNNNNNNNNNNNNNNNNNNNNNNNNNNNNNNNNNNNNNNNNNNNNNNNNNNNNNNNNNNNNNNNNNNNNNNNNNNNNNNNNNNNNNNNNNNNNNNNNNNNNNNNNNNNNNNNNNNNNNNNNNNNNNNNNNNNNNNNNNNNUAGGGGGACGGAGGGAGUAUAAGGGAAAGAGGGUCAAAAAAGUAAUGGGGGAAAAGUGCAGAUGGUAAAGCAAAAAGGUUAAAAAAUGAGGGAAGAAAGUAAGAGUAGUUUGAACAAUAACAUUCUGUUUACAAGUUAGACAAAAUAAUGCUGUCUGUCCCUUAUCUCUCUACUCUAUGAGUAUAUUCCAAACAAAUGUAUACAGUAACAGGAGUACAGUAGUUGAUAAUACUAUUCACUAUUCACUGGACUAUGCACGCCCCCUUCUUUUUCUGUUCUUUUUCUUUUGGAAUUUAGGCACCGUUUUGACAUUCUCCUUUUCUUUUUCCCUUGGGAUACUUGCUUGCUGUCUUUAAACUUUAUUUCUUUGGGACAAUAAGAAUGAUUUUCCUUGGGAGAGUGUAGAGGGAAUGUAUAGUGCACACUUACAUAUCGAGGUUUACGUGUUGAACGUUUAGAUUUAAAUUAACAAAACUUAUGACAAUUUUGUGACAUCGCAUCUUUGGUUUGUAAGAAAUAGCUGUACUCUUGAAUCUUUAAGCAAUAGUUUGAGGUAUCAUGAACAUGUUCUAAUAUAUAUUGUGUUUUAAUAUGAUACCUUACGAGUGAAGACUGAAUGAGUAAGAGCAGAGUAUGAGGCUUUGUUCUUGUAUAUUCUAUACCACGUGCGUAGAGAUCAUGGGAGAAUAACCAGCUCUCCCAAAUUAAUAUGUAUCGGUAUAUCAUGCUCAAUUUUUAAAAUAUGUCUAUAGCAUUAACACAGAAAUAUAAUCAUUGAAAUGGUUUUGCAAAAUAUUUUUAGGAUGAACAUGACGAGAUCCGAGCAAGGAAAGGUGAAGUUGAGGCUUUAGAAUGGGAGGACUACAAGUCAAUGCCUUUCACCCAUUGUGUAAGUGCAGCUUAUGAUAAAAAUUAGCAUUAAAAUGCUCUAUGCAUAAUCUGAUUGUUUUCAUAGUUAUUCCUACAAAUUAAUAUCAUUUUUUUUUCAGGUGGUUAAUGAAACUUUGCGAAUUGCUAACAUAAUUGGUGGAGUAUUUAGGCGAGCUAUGACGGAUGUAACCAUAAAAGGUAUUUUACUUGAGAAAACACAAGGCUCAUCAAAUUCAAGCAUUAUUUCUUCCACAUUUUGUGCAGUAUGUAAUUACACUGUUGUAUCUUAACGGAUUUUGUUAUAAAAAACAGAUUACACUAUUCCAAAAGGUUGGAAAGUAUUUGCCUCGCUCCGUGCAGUUCAUCUCAAUCCUGAAUACUUCAAAGAUGCUAGAACUUUUAAUCCUUGGAGGUGGCAGGUGUGAUACACAAUUCAUCAACUUUUCUUUGUUUGUACAUUCCUAAGAAACAUCUUUGUGAAAAUUAUAACAAUCUGAAAUUGUUUUAACAGAGCAAUUCAGGUGAAAUAAACACUGCCAAUGUGUUCACUCCUUUCGGAGGAGGCCCAAGGCGUUGCCCCGGGUACGAGCUUGCCAAAGUUGAACUCGCAGUUUUCCUUCAUCACCUUGUUACUCGUCUCAGGUAAAACAAAUUUGUCUAAUCAUCUUCCAAACCAGUGACUUAUAUAUUUAUUAUGGAAAGCAUGAUCAGUACAUAAUGUUUUGUGUAUUUGAUCGAACAGCUGGGUUCCUGCUGAAGAAGAUAAGUUGGUAUUCUUCCCAACGACAAGAAUGCAAAAACGAUACCCUAUAAUCAUUCAGCACCAAGAGAAGCCAGCAAGUAAAGUGUAGGCAAGUAGUAAUUCAGGAGGAAACUAAUAAGGUUUGGAUCAGAUAAAUUGAAACAUAUGCAAGGAUAAAAAAAUCGAUGAAAUAUAUAUAAUCUAGCAAUACAUAUAAUACAAGCCGGAUUUUAUAGUUAGUCGUUUUCUAUAGAUGAAAGAUAUCUGGGAGAGUGAGAAAAUGCUCUUGAUUGGCAUGGUAAAUUUGCUCAUGUCUGUUAAAAUCUUGGCGUAUUUCUGCAUAAUUCUCAUGUGAGGUAUUAUCAUCAAUUCGAUGAGAUUGGUCUCGAAUCAAAUGUAUAUAUUUUCUGAUCUUUGCAUAUUUCGCAAGUGUGGUGCCUAUCAUCAGUAAAGAUCGAUGAAACUGGCAUCAAUUUCAUCUUCUUCUGGUUUAAACUUUUAGAAACUGGCAUCAAAUUCAUCCUCUUCUGGUUUAAACUUUUAACAUGUGCUGGACUUCCGAAAUCUCCUGUUCCCAACUCUAUUUUGAAGAGACACCAUUUGCCCUCAUACUAUAAAACCUUGAAUUCUUAUUUCUUAUCAGUAAUCAUGAAGAGGGGAAUAUACCCCCAGCUAUAAGCCAAAAUGUGACUAUUCUGAUGGGUUACUUCACUGUUUCUCUCAUUUUUUUUUACAAUUUUUUUUAUUAUAUUUGACACAGACAUUUUAAAGUGCAUAUAAAUGUUAGGUUCACACUAUUCGUGCAUAUAUCUGGGACAAGGAUCGAGUCAAACUGUUCGUGUUUGAUUGAGAAGAAUGGAAGGAGUAAAAUUAUUUGAAAUUUUUAGUGAUAGGAGAAAAAUUUUGAGAAAAUAUAAAUGAGUACAAAAUUGUUAUGAUGAAAUUUGUAAGAUAUUGAAAGUGGGAAAAAAUGAAAUAUUUUAUCUCAAAUUGUAGGUUUAAUCUCGGACAUAUGAUGUAAGAAAUUGAAUGGAGAAAAAAAGUGAAUUUUUUAAUAAUUGCUUGUAAAAUAGUUUAUAUUUCAUUUCAUUUAUUCCGAAAUCAUUCAUUUCAAACAAACACGACGGAGUAACGGUAGAGUGCGUGCAUUAGUAGCCCAGUGAAUGAGCAUCUGCAACUGCAAGUCUGAAACAAGCUAUUAUUCCUGCUCAUUUUGCUAGACUAAUCAAAUGGAAGCGACUAUUAAGCAGUUACAGAAAUCGGAAAUUAAAUAAACAAGCUAUUAUUCCUGCUCAUUUUGCUAGACUAAUCAAAUGGAAGCGACUAUUAAGCAGUUACAGAAAUCGGAAAUUAAAUAAACAAGCUAUUAUUCCUGCUCAUUUUGCUAGACUAAUCAAAUGGAAGCGACUAUUAAGCAGUUACAGAAAUCGGAAAUUAAAUUGAACCUAAUCGGUUGAGCUAACAACUUAGAAUUAUUCAAAAAUUGAGGAGUAAUCAAAAUAAAAAUCGGAUGUAUUUUAAUAUUAAAAUAUUAUUUAAUAUUUAGUUAUUAUUAUAUUAGUUAUCUAUUAAUAAAUAUAUAUUUAUUAUAUCAUAAAUUCCAUAAUUAUUCAUAUUUAAAGUGAUAUAGUAUUUUAAUUUUAAUAAAUUAUUAUAUAUAUUUCAAUUAAGAAAAACUUAUAAGAAUUAAUCAGAUUUCAAAAAUCAAAUUGGUCAGCAACAUUAUUGCGGGAUUAAUCUGUUAAAUCGGAAAUUUUUAGAACAUUCAUGUUACAUAAUUAACCGAGCCUUCCCUGGAGCUGUUUAUACAAGUGAGGGAAAUGUGGUGCAUCUGAUGGUCCUGAGUACAGAUACCCUUGCGGCUAGCUCAAAUAAGGUCAUCGACUAAUAGACCAUAUUAGGGCCAAGGUCAGCUUGCAAAGCAAGUUCUUCAAAAGUAUCGGUCAUUUGCUGCUUAAGUUAACUUUUUAUUUUAGUGUAGUAUUAGGUUUAAUCAUAGCAUAUGCAAAACUACCUUAACCACAUGCAAUUUGUUUGCAGAAUUAGAGAUGAUAAAUUGCUAACAAAGUGCCUACCCUUUUCUGUUGCAGCUAAAAAUUUUGGCAGUUCUAAUAUUCAAACAACAUGAACAAACCCGGAAAUACUUUUCCUCAAUAGUCAGUACUAUCACGAGAUUUAAGUGCUGAUUCCACCAUCUUAACCUUUUCAGUAUUUUCGCUAUUGACAAGUGACAGUUUUUCAACUGCAGACCUGAGGCGGGAUAUUUGGUCAUUUUGAGCAUAAUUCUUCCUACCUGAUAACCUGUGUUGUUCACUUGCUUUGUUUCGAAGAGAAUGCGUGUAUCUUUUCAACCUUGCAUUCAGAGCUUCGACUGAAGAAUGCAAAGCCUCCAAUUCAACUUCCCGAAACAUGUCUGCACAUUUAAUAGAAAAGGAAAUGAAGUGAAGUCAAAGUAAGGAUUUAAGUAAAGUGAAUGUACAUUUCAACAAAAGAAAGAAAACGCAAGGAAAAAGAAGUCAUCAAUAGACAUCUGCUGAAAAGAUUUUUCAUAAAAUAACAAUAUUCUAACACAUGGAAAGUGAAGGAACCAAAACUUACCUGCAAUCUCAAGCAGUAAAACCAAGUUUAACAAACAUAUAGACAGUUUAAUAUAAAGCUAAAAAGAAUUAAUGAUAACCACAGUGCCUCGGGGAUCUAUAUAUUACUACGAGUCAAAUUUUAUAUUAUACUACCAAAGCUGAAAAAUUAAAAAUUUGGUCAGUCGGUAAUUGGGCAAUUCUAUAUGCCUAAUUAUUGUAAACCAUAUUAUAAGGGGCCUAUUUAUUUUAAACAGAAAAUAUUUAGCUUUUAAACGUCUCUAGGGCCUACUUGUUUUUAGUGCCUAGCCUUCUUGUUUUAAAUGCCAAACUUAAGGGGCUUAAUUAUUAAAAACUUAUCUUAACAGACUUAUUAAAAACCUAGCUAUUCUAAUUUAAACACAUAAACCUACUUAUUCAAAACUUAUUUAGAAAGCCUAAUUGUCCUAAAACCUAUUUAAAUACAAAGACACAUACUAUUACAAUAUAAACACAUCUCCUGAAGAAAAGUAAAUGUAAAUAAAAUAUAAGUUAAGAUAACAUAUGUUUAAACUAACCCGUGCAUCCCACGAGAUUUAAGCUAGUAUAUUUGGUGCUCGAAACUUACCCAAUUCUGAUUUGAACUCUCGCUCUGCUUUUGAUAAUGGUUUCUUGUGAACCCCGGGUAACUUUCUCAGGCUAUGUAAGCGCUCUUCUAAAAGAUUAUGACGCUGAACAACAUGAUCAGUGCGCUCAUCUAGUUUUCCCUGUUUCUCCUCCACCUUGGAAAGCCUCUGAUGUGCCUCACGUAAACGUGCAUGCUGAUCAUCUAUAAUUUUCUUUAGUUGAGGUCCAUGACGUUCAAGCUCGAAGCACACCUAGCAAAAGAAGAAAAAGUUAUUUUAAGUAUCAUAUCCUACCUUAAUGUGCAUAAGGGAAGAUAAUAACAAUUGAAUAAACAGCUCUCUUUUGUAUAAAACAUAACAAUUAUCAUUCGAGACAUAUUUACAGCGAAUGAAUUAACAAUACACUGUGCUGUAUUAUAAUACAGGCUGAUAGGAUCCAAAGAAUUACCAUCAAACUUUUACAGUGCUCAACUUUAAGCACAGAUGCGGGCAAAUAGAUAAACCUGACAUAGCCAUUGCAGAAAUGUUUUCGUUAAUUAAAGACACCUAUCCCUGAAAGAAAUUAAAGCAACUCUGCUGUCGCCCAACUAUAGACGUUCACAAAAAAUGCAUAACUAUUUAAUGAAGGGAAAAUCCUAGAGAAAAGAAGGGAGCCUAAACUCUAAAAAAGAUCUAUCUAAUAAUGAUAAGCCCCAAAAAAAGAAGAAAAGGCAGAAUCUCUUUUCAGAACAAGAUAAUCUGUCUAUAUUAGUGCAGAUGGGAAAAAAGUCAUAUUGCCUGCCAUUACCUUAUGUGCAUACUCCACAUAAUUUUCAUUAAAUAGCUUGAUGUACUGGUGAAGUGUUGAUCGGCCUUCAAUAGAAUCAGCAUUAGCAGAGCGCAGAAAAGGGGUGGAAGGAGGCAGAAGAACCACAUUAGGGCCAGCAAGAAGUUCUUUACUUAUAAUAGUUGAAGUAUCACUUUCUGUUGGCUCUUCAAUGUUUGAAGCUUUCUUCCCCUGAUCUAUAUCAAUAGGAAGUAACAAAUUCCAAGUUUCCAUCUCUAGCACAACACAUUCAUUAGAGGAUGUCAAUCCUACAAUCCAUGAGCUUCCAAAUGAAUCGGACAAUGCUAUAAACCCAGAAAGAGGAGAUUGUGUGGAGGAAUCUCCUUGGCAUGUGUUGAGAACAGAAUGCACAGAUGGAGUCCUCAUGAUCUCAUGCUUGCCACUUGCUUGACUUGUAAAAGGAAGAAAAUGCAACACUAUUGAAUCUACCCCUCCAUCAUGAAUGGAAUAUAUUCUCUCAGGAACAAGGGGAUCAAUAAACAUCAAUAUUCGAGAACCACUUUCUUUAGUCUUUGGCAGAGCUAAAUCUACUAUUGCCAACCUCAACAAGGGUGGUGGAUGACCCAACCAAGGAGUAGGAUCAGGUGACUGAUCAAGCUGAACAAUGGAGUUCUGCCUGAUAGAUUCACAAAUCAUGGCAACACCAACUAUCCGAUCAUAAGAAUCAACACGAAGACGAGGAGGGCAAUCAAGAGCCCAUAAUGGUUGUAUUUCAUCAGCCAAUGCAUCUACUUGCAGUUGCCCACCACUCCAAGCAGUAAUAAGAAUCGAAUCUUUGCUUACUGAAUUGUAAAGAAAACUCACUGCACGACCUUCACAUUCUGCAGCCUGAUACUCAUGUGUUUCUUCCCCACCAUGGCAUACUUUUUGAAGAGGUCCCUGAAAUUCAUAAAUGAUAAUAUUUUGUAUGCAUCAUACAUAAAAUAAGCCGGAUAAGUCUAUCUACAUUCAGCCAUAAAAGAAUUCCAUGCUUAAAUCUUUCUAUCAAAAUUCCAUAGAGAAACAAUUGAAAUUAUAUAAAAACAACAGGAAACCAGGUCUAUCUCACGUAAAUGGCUACUGUAAGCUAAUAUGCAAUAGUUAGCGUGCAAAAACACACACAGACACACACACAAAAUACAGGUGCACAAGUACAUACAACAAACAAAACAACCGACUUCAUACGUGCGCUUAUUAUAGCCAUUUAUAAUAUGAAUAAGAGAUAUGAGAUUUCCAUUUAAAGACCUUUUUUGGAUUGAUUAGAGAAAAAUGGUUGAACCACAAACUUGACAAUGAACUAAGGAUUGAAACUCCACUGCAUCAUUUCUAAUUAAAUGGUUAGCUACCAUGCAAGAAACUGUCGGGAACAAACCUAAAAAGAACACACCUGCAAAGAAAUGGAUGCAUCAAAUAAAGCGUAAGGUUGAGCUUUCACUGCACUUAGGUUUCCCACUUCCAAUGCUUCAUGUGCUAACUCAGGAAAUGUUGCUUCCAACCAUGAGAUUGCACAACUGGAAUUACUAACAGAUUUGGAAUUAGAAGAUCUCUGGCCAAAUGUCUGGGCAUCAGUAUAUAUUUCCAAUAGAGAGUCCCAUCUAUACACACUGCAGGAAAACAAAAACUGUUCACAUGCAGUUAUUGUUCAAUCAAAGCAUCAGUUAUUGUGGCAGAAUAAGUGUGACAUUUUUUACAUUAUAUAAGCCAGGUGCACGCGUUAUUAGGUAAACAAAAAUGUUCCAUUGCAACUAGUUAAAACUCAAAAGGACAAAUUCUAGAUACGAGUACAAGACCAACCAACAAUUCCAAUUAAAACCUAGAAACUAGUUUUCAACAAUGGUGGACCAGUUACUUAUGACACGAUGCAUUAUAUUUUAAAUGAAUAUGCAAUUAGAGGAAGAUGAUAAAUAGGAAAAAAGGCAGGUAAAUUAUAUCCAAUUCCACCACAGAAUUUUUUUUUGAUUCUUGCGUCCAGUUCCUAUAGAACCUCACUAAAUAACCCCUAGAGGAGUCAUGACAGUCCAAAACAACUGAUUAUUAUUAAGGAGCAGUAUGCUUUCAGGGUUGAUAGACUGUUUCCAUUUUUCUCAUAUAUUACAAUUGAAGAAAAUAACUUUUUUGCUGAUAGUGUACAAUAGAGUUGAAGACUGCAUAACUACCUACGUUCUACGACUCCCAUUCUUUCAUAUUCCCCUUACUAUCUCUCAUUCUUAAAUUAUUAUAGUGAGUGAAAAGAGAAGGUAAAGAAUGAGAAUAUAGAGAAAGCAGCCAGUUAGCAAGUACUUGUAGAAAAGAGAUAAUCCUUUAGAAGUAGAUGAGAGAUUAUAAUGCACAUCAGCCGGCAGAUACAUGAUAUGCAUCCAAUACAAACACUUAAUCAUUUCAUGUAGCUAAAAGUCGAUGAAACAUUGUAGUACUUCUGUAUUUUCAUGGUCCUUUGUAGGCAUGUGGUUUACUUGUUUAAAUUGCAUAAUUAUGGAACAAAUCAUCUGAAGACAAUGUAGGGAGGGACAUGAACUUGAUUAGGGGUUGGAGUUGCAUGCAAGUUGCUCACAGAAAUUGGAAUUCGUGGUGCAAUUGGCAACUGAAACAUGCUGGAAACCUUUUUAAAUGACCGUACGUCUUUUUUUAUUAAUGUCAUUUUUUUGAUUUCACUUUCAAAAUUGAGAGGCUGGUAUGAUAUAAUACUUAUGCCAUUGACAGUAUAGGGGCUCUAACUCCCUUUUCUAGCUUUGUGAUUGUUUUGCGCUCCUUUACUAUUACCUUUGAGUAUUAAAUGACAUUAGCGAGCAACCCCACUUUAACAACUUUAAUGGCUCCAAUCUUUUUAAUAAUCCCUCAUUGGACUCUUCAAAGUUCAAACUGUCUACAUGCAGAUAUUCUAUCAUGAUCAUGUCCUCCGUAUCUCCAAUGGUACUAAUAUCACACUCAGUCAUAUUGGAAACACCCUUGUAUACUACUCCCUCCAUCCCACCAGGUUCUUUACGUUACUUUUUGGCACGCAUUUUGAGGCUCUUAUAAAAUAUACUUACAUAAUAUAUAUACUUUCAAAAAAAUUCCUGAAAAAAAGUUUGACGUAUAAAAUUAGAUUCAAAAAAAGAAAAAAUUUAAAAAAUGUUAUAGAACUACACUUUACAAGAGCCUCGAAAUGCGUGCAAACAGUGUACAUAAACAAUCUGGCGGAACGGAGGGAGUAUAUUUUACAACAUCUAGUAUAUGUGUUAAUUUGUGAACGAUUUACAAAAGAAUACUGUUUCCUGACGAUAAAAGAUCUAUGGGUGAUUUCUUAAAAGCCAACAAGACCGCCACAGUUAUCGAUUACAUGGGUCACAUAAACCUAGACAAGGGAAUAAGAAUUGUGCUUGAUACUUUGAUAAAAAACAUUCAAAUAAAAGCAUGAGCAUUAUGCAAACUGUGAAGCAUUAGAAGUAUUACCCUCCGAAUGGUACAACUGGGCAUAAAAUGUAAACUGCACCAUCACUAAAUAAAAUAAAAACCUGCAUACAGCAAGAAAAACUUUAUUAGUAUAUAAAUGAAAGGCAAGUACAGCUUAAAAGUAAAAGAAGUGUUUAAAUUAAGGAAAGGUUGUGCAAGUGUUAAUUGUCAAGCAACUUUCAUAGAACAUAUACAAUCUUUAGGCGUUAGGAGCAUCAUCAAUCAUAUAGUACCCCAUAACACCAUAAAUUUAUACGACUCAGUAUGUGUUUUGCAACAGUUAUAAUAAUUCAAAAUUAAAAUUUCUAUAGCAAACAUCACCAAGCAUAUACACAAGUGAGUAAGAAUAGACAUAAUUAUAGUUAUCCACCAUGAUUUAACUGCCAAACAAAAUUCAUAAGCUUACACUAAAUUUAUCCCACAAGUGGUCACCACCAAAAAAAAAAUCUACUGGGCGGAUUGAUGCAGCAUUUCUUGAUCUACCAGAUUCCACAGGCUGCAAAUAGUAUUCCUGCUCUGGUUGCCCGGGAGACGAAGACAAAUCAAAUAACCUGAAAAGGUAAAGAGAACUGCUAAAUCACACAUGAAACAAUAAACAGCCUUGACUACAGAUAAUAUAAAGGAAAUUGAAUAGUUUGACUAAUGUGAAAAGGAUGUUCUAGCAUACUACACACAGGUAUUGAGUCAAACAAAUCUAUUUUUCUAUACUAUACUAUUAUAACGGGAAUAUGGGUAUAUUAAAUUGACGGGUAAAAAGAAUAACGACCGCUAAAUUUUAAAGUCAAUAGAUUAAAGCCGUUAGAUCUAAUACUAAGGAAUCUACAAAAUUUUUAUAUUUUAAUAUAUGAACUACUUCUAAAGGUCCAAAGUUUCAAUCCCAUCAACAUAUUAAAACAAAUAUUUAUAUUACUGAUUUUAAAUAUACAAACAAAUGUGUGGGGUUUGAACCCCAUUAACCACAUAUUAUAAUGAUUUUUUUUUUCAAAAUUCUCUUAACAAUUACUCCCUCCGUCCCCUCCAAUUCUUAUCGUUUGGAAUGGAAUGCUCGGCACGCAUUUUAAGGCUCAUAUAAAAUGUAGUUCUAUCACUUAUUAUUAUAAUUUUCUUUUUCUGAAUAAAAAUAUAAACAUUAGAUUUUUAUUCAGAAAAAAAAAAAUUUAAAAAUAAGUUAUGGAACUAAACUUUAUAUGAGCCUUAAUACACGUGCUGGACACUCCAUUCUAAAUGAUAAGAAUUGGAGGGGACGGAGGGAGUAUGAUUUAUGUUAUUUCAAAUCAUUAAACAAUUAUUAGAUUUUUAGUAAAUCUCUUAUUAAUUACUCCCUCCAUCCCCCUCAAUUGUUUACAUUGGGGGACGGGGGCUCGGCACGCAUUCUAAUGCUCUCAUAAAAUAUAGUUUGAUACAUUAUUUUGAACUUUUUUUUUCCUUUUGAAUAUAAAUUUACUAUCUAAACUUUUAUACAAAGAAGAAAAUUUUCAAAAAAAUUAUUAUGGAACUAUGUUUUAUAUGCGCUUUAAAAUGCGUGUCGAGCAAUGUAAAAAGUGUAAAGAAAUAAGAGGGACAGAGGGAGUAUAACUCAUUUAAUUUCAGAUCUUUUAAAAUUUAUUAAAAUUUUAAUAAUAUUGUCCAACUAUAUAGUCAUUUUACGAAUAUAUAAGUACUAUUAAAUUAUAAGUAUACAUAUUAAAAUUAUAAAAGAAAAUCCGCGUGACGGGUACUAAGCUAGUACCGUGUAAUUAGUUGACUAAAGUUAACUACAUGAAUUGGCUAUAGUGUGCAGAUACUUGGUAAACCAUACUACAAACAAAACACAAAUGUAAUUCCCUUUUUGUACGAUAUAAGAUGAAUUUAACAGAAUUGCCUAAACAAAAUACUUUCCAAAGUACUAUGGAAAGGUCCUCUCAAUGAUCUAAGCCCACACCUUUUAAUCGAGAGCUUACCAGAAAUGGGAGCGUAUGGAUUGAUUCUGAUUAAUAUGGAAUUAUUAUCCCACACAUACAUAUUUGAAUGGGUUGUUCUUACAAAAUUUGCUCCGACAUUCCAAUCUAAAUAAUCAUUGUUGUACUUCCAUCAAUCAUUGUUUUUUCUGGUGAAGAGUGCUCUGCAGCGGUUACAAAAGAAAACACCAUCUCACGCUACACAUUAUCUGAUUUUAUCAUCUUUUGGGAUUAUUCAUACCAAAUCUAGAUUCUUUUUCAAAAUUUCUUCCUUUUUUUACCACUCAAGAUUCUAUAUUUAUCAGGGACUAGUUUCUUUGGUGAAUGUUUCGUUUUACUUCCAAUAAACUUAUUGCCCGGGAAAUAACUGCUACUCCUGCAAGAUUUCCAGAUGUUGCCGCUCACUCCCUCCGUGUUCUUUUCCUUUGUGUGCGGCCAAGAUUUAGUAUUAGUUAAUUACACAUUUUGUAUUAAAUUGUCUAAUCUCAUUAAUCCAUACACUCAGUUUGUUGUUGGCAUAUUAGACAUAGAUAUAGACACAAACAUUGUAUCAACAUUAACCAGUGCGUACUAAUGGAUCAUCACGGAUGUUGGUGCGUCGAAGAAUUUGGUAAAGUUUAGUGCGUACUAACGGAUCAUCACCGAUGUUGGUUCGUCGAAGGAUUUGGUAAGGUGGAUCAUCACGGAUGUUGUUCGUCGAAGGAUUUGGUAAGGUGGAUCAUCACGGAUGUUGGUUCGUCGAAGGAUUUAGUAAGGUUUAGUGCAUACUAAUGGAUCAUCACGGAUGUUGCUUCGUCGAAGGAUUUAGUAAGGUUUUGUUGCUUUGGCAGCAUAGAUGAAGCAGAACCGACAUAGAUGGAUUACACAAGAAGAAAUCAAGUUAAUUCAAAAAACUGUGCAAAUAGUGGCAGUUCUUAUCCAGUUUGAUAUCUCCGUUUCGGAUCAUUGUCACCCAUCAUCGACAAACGGGAACUGUUUAGGUAAGUCCCAUGUGAAGAAGGCCAUGGACUAAGAUAUAUUAAUAUUGUAUCACACAGUAUAUUAUUUAUUGUGCACUAAGUCGGGGGUCUUCACGGAAACAGCCUCUCUGCUUUAAGGGUAGGGGCAUGGUUAUUGUGCACCAAGCCGGGGGUCUUCACGGAAACAGCCUCUCUGCUUUAAGGGUAGGGGCAUGGUUGCGUACAUCUUACCCUCCUCAGACCCUGCUCUAAGCGGGAUAUACCGAGUAUGUUUGAUUUGGUUUGGUUACAUACAUAUUUGAAAGGCUAAAUUAGUUGGAAAAAGUCAUUUUAUCAUACUUCUUCAUUUGAAUUCAAUUUGAUACAUACAUACAUAUAUAUAUAUAUAUCAAGGUUGGGAAAGUGAGGAAGAAACAUAUGUAGAAAUUGGAACAGCUUUCAAAACGAAGGGGACUAAAUAAGAACAAGAGGGAUCCAUCGAAAAAGAUCCUUCUUCCUUUUUCUCGAAAGAUAAAGAGGAUCCCCACCCCAGAAUGAGUGCUCUCCUAUUCUGACUUCCCUGGAGCCUCAGCCUCAGGCAGCACAACCAGCCUUAUGAGGUGACAAUCUCAGGUACGAUUCUGUAAUAGUGUUGUGAACAGUAAUGUUCUUGUCGACUAUAGUCAUCUAAAAGUUCGAGCCAGUUCAUAUAGUUGAACCACAGUCAAAAUAUAGGUUUCGAUGGAAUUUGUGGCAUCAACCUAUAAGGCUUAUUUGAGUAUCCGCAGGCCCUGAAUUAUCAAUAGCUCUCUAAGUACUUUGAAAAUUGUCCACGAUUCGUUCUGGUAAAUGGAACACUUAAAUGAAACCUCCUGUAUCAAUUAUUUCCAUUCCUUUUGUAGAAACACUUGAACCAUUGGCGACCUCAAGUUCGUCGGAAUCAAUGGAGACUCGUUAUUUCGAUGAAUCACUCUAUUGGGACAAAGAUGGGUUGUCGAGAAUGUGGAGGUAGGUUGAGCAGUUGGUCAAUCCAGUGUUGGAUUGUGGAUUGGUCAAUCCAGUGUGGAUCGUACAUGGACGGUAGUUGGAGCCUGGAGGCGGUGGCUUAUACGUUGGUUGUAUUUCAUCUCUUCAAUAAGUAGAGCUUUGCCUGUGUGGAAGUUGUGUCUAUAAAACCAAGCCGAAGUAAAAUCUACUUCUAACUAAUUUCAACCAGGACAUAUGAUGUUUGAGUUUUCUGGAGAUAGAAGUGAAAAACAAAAGCGAAAUUAUUCAACUACUUAAAAGAUUGUACUUGGAUUCACUAGCUUCUUUAUCAAAUAUGUUAGAAACAGAUAAUUACAUUUAAGGAAAUGUAAGAAUCCCAGAGGAGUUUUAAAGAGAUCUAGAGUUCGUCUGGCUGAGCUUAUGACUUAACGUGACUUAUGUGAUAAGCUGGGAGUUUAAAAUAUUUGUUUGGGUAAUUUUUACUUGAGAGUUAUUAAAAAUAUAAUAAUAAAAAUAAAAAUAAAAGUGAUUUAGAGGUAAUUUAUGUCAUAUGAUUAAUUUUUGUCAAAAAAAGUUUAAAAAAUUUAAUUCACUGAAAAAAGUAGCUCAAACUAACUUCUGGCUUCAAGUCAGUUUCUGGCUUAUCUCUGACUUUAAGUUAGCUUCUGGCUUAUUACAAAACAGACAUUUUGCAGCUUAAAGUUGUAAACAGCUUUAAGUCCCGAUUUUAAGCCGGGACAAACAAGCUCCUGAUUAGAGAGAUAGAAACCAUAAUUUAUCGAUAGAGAUUUUGCGGUAGCCUCCUAAUAACUGGAAGUCAUUUUCAGAUGUCUAAUCUAUCACAACAGGAAACCAUGCAUUUACAGCUUAUAGUCAAUAGUCAACUUAGUAGUGGAGUAGUCGACUAGUAUCAACUACUUCAAUUUACUAACUGUACUACUAACAAACCAAUGGCUGAAAAGAAGUGCUUAUAAGUAAUUUUUAGCUAAAGCAAACACGCUUUACAUAAAUAUGUCAUACUAUAAUGCGCCUGUUUGGAAACCAGAAGCAACUUCUGCUUCUGACUUCUGCUUUUCUUGACCCGUUUGUGUAAAGAAGUAGAAGCACUUUCAAGAAGUUGAGAAUGUUAGUUUCUCUCUCACAGCUUCUGCUUCUUUUCUAAACACUUUAUUAACUUAUUUACUUCUCACAUCUACUCCAUUUAUACUCCACUUCUUUAUUUUAAGCAAGAAGUCACUUUUUUUAAACUUGGCCAAACGCCCCCAAUGGCUGUUCACACAAUUAGGUGACCAUCAGAUUGGAUGAACAUAUGUGUAGUGACUAUUUGCUUCAAGUAUAAUUUGUAAUCAUUAUAGUAACCUUAAUAAUAAAAGUUAAAGAUUAGUUGCUCAACUAAUUUCAGCCAGGACAUAUGAUGUUUGAGUUUUCUGGAGAUACAAGUGAAAAAAAGAAAGCGAAAUUAUUAAACUAUUUUGGAGAUUGUAUUUGGAUUCACUAGCUUCUUUAUCAAAUAUGUCAGGAACAGAUAAUUACAUUUAAGGAUAUGUUACAACUAGAAAUUUUUCCAAAAAAUUGAAUAUUUUGCAGGAAGUUACCAAGUCUACACUAAUGGUGUAAACGAGAACUAUUACAUGACAAUCCUGAAUCGCAGAUCCCUCACUUGGUAAAAGUUUGUAUUUUCUGGGAAUAAAAUCAAAUUUUCUGCUCAACCUCCACUAAAUGACAAUGGAAAUAUAAAUGGAUGUUGUGGUACCUGAAAACAGAGUCCGAAGACAAGAUUCCUAUAUGGGUGUCACUGUAAGGGUGCCAUGAAAUUUGUAGAGUCCGGAUCACAUUGUUCUGGUUGAAGUAGAUGUCUGAACCAAUGGACACAGUUCUGGGAACAGUAACAUCAAUGUUAAGCUAGGUAUAUACAUAAUUUAAGCAAUAAUUAAUCAUGUAAUCUGAGCUGAAAUGGCAUUGCCUGCCAACAAAAAGAUGCGUGACAAUAUGACACACAAUAAGUAGACUGUGUGUAUUAUGCAACCUACAUUUUAUUCUUAUGAAACAGUUAGCAACUUAGCAUAAAAUGUGGAGAUAAAACGAGUAACAUCAGGGAAAUGGUAAUCUCUCAGGAUAUCAAUUCUCUCAUCUUAGAGGCAUAUUCAUAUAGCACGUAGCAAUUAGAAAACGUACGAGGUAAAUAAACAAGUAAAAGCACCAAUAUCAUCUCUAGUUUUAGAAAAGAUCUCUCGCCCAGUUCUUUAAUAAUCUCCAUUUCUAUCUUCCUAAAACAGUUUGGUGGCAGAGUUAUAUGUAGUCGUGUACUCUUAUCUAAUAAAAUAUUUUUCAUAUGAUAAGUUUAUAUAUAUUAUAGAGAGCAUACAAUCAUUUAUACAUACACAUAAAACUAACCAAAUAGAGUAGUAAAAGAUCCUAGGGAAAUAAAGUAAUUUGUAAGUUAAGAGGUACAGAAAAUUAACUUCUUCAGGUGGUUCUAGGUGGCCUCCUAAGAGUAGAAUACCAUCUAGGCUAUGUUUGUCUGCAAGUAAUAUCAUCCCUUCUAAGGUACUCAAUUCAUAACAUAUAAUCCCUUGUAGUUCAGGUACUCAGUUCAUAAUAUAUGAUUCCUUGCAUUAAUUCCAUGUAAUAUCUUAAUAACUUUUGGGGUUCAUUUAAUAUUUUAAUUCCACCUUUAAAUAUCCAGUAGGCUUCCACCUGGGCAAAAAUUAAAGCAUUGCUUCCAGUGCUUAAGCAUUACAGAAAAGAAGGUUACGGAGUGUGAAGAUAUAAAGGUCAAAAUUAAAGGGGAAGCAAUUCGUUUAAAAACCAUAUUGCAAUGUAACAUCAGGAGCUACUAACAUGUCAAAAUACAGAUAUUUGAAUACAAUAUAGCAGGACAAAUGAACUGGCAAUCAAUCUAGUAUGUUUUUGCAGACUUCUGCGUGCGCCGAUUUUAAACCCGCAUUUUGUUCUUCACAUACCUGCAUAUAGUAGCAUUAACUUGCGCUGAACUGCGCCCAUAGAGGUACAUGACACGCAGCCCAUCCGAACCAGCUAAAAGUAUAGCCGACCCGUUUCUGUUAAUAGAAAUUCUAUUCACCACAAAGUUAAGUGGUACAUCCGCUUGCAAUGCCUGCCAAAUAAUCAAAAAUCAAUCACAACUCAACACAUUCCAACAAGAACAAAAUAACAGUACAUUCCCAAUUUCCCCAAAUGCAAUAAUUAUAACUAAUUCAAAUUCAGCUAAAGCAUACAUUCAGCUACACUGCUACACUAAAACAUCAAUAAUAUAAGUAUUCAAUUCAUUUCUCGAGAUUAACAUACAAUGCACCUUUUACUUUAGCCCAACAGUACAUAAUAAACGGUUAAUUACAAAUUACAACUUCUUCGGUACAUAAAAAUUCAUACUAUUAAAACUCCUUACGCACAACUAAUCUAAUUAUUUGGUACAAAUUGCGUGCUUCGAACAAAACAAAAUCUUCAAAUUCAACAAUGUAGUAGUUGAAAAAAGUGAUAGGAGGUACCUUAGCAGGAGAAGCGGCGAGAACAGAGGUGGGGUCAGGUUCACCAAGGCGAAUAGAGAUUCUGUUAAGGCAGUGUUUGGCAGGGUCCCAAUAAUACACCCGAGAAGCUCCGUCCCAGGCCAGCAGAUUCUCCGGCACGGCGGUGGAUGUGGUGGUGGAGAAGAGGGGGUGAUUUUGAAGAGGGACCCACUGGAUUUGUGGGUCAGUGGGAGUUAGGGUUUUAGGGUCGUCUGAUGAUGGUAUAUCGAAACUGUAUCUCAUCUUUUGUUGUUAGUGGUUUAUGACAGGGUUGUAUUAGAAGUGGUGUUUGGUUUUCAAAGCAUCUCCGAUGUUCGGCUUAUGACGGGGUACCAAUUACUACCAGCUUUGCCCCGCUAUCGAUUUUAAUUUUUUUCCUUAUAAUUACUUUUUGGCAUUCCUUUUAAGAAACCUCAAUAGUUGACGUCGCUAAAGGCCAACUUUAUCUAAUUUGUCUAAUUUUAAUAUACUUUCUAUAUCAAUAUAAAAAUGAUAUUUAUACAUCAUUAAGUUCAUAAAAUGAAAUUGAUAUCCUAUAUUUUAUGGGAUAGUCAAUUUUCAAUAUAAAUCAUGUGGCGAAUAAAAUUAGAGAGAAUUAUUAUUUAUUAGUUGAAUGUUUAAUAACUGCAUUCCAAUUCUAUCACUCUUAUUCACUGUUCAACCUAUGCAUUUCAAGAAUCAUACAUGUAUUUUAUUAAAUCUUAUCAUACAAAAUUUGCAUUUAUUCAUUUGUUUUCCAAAAAAUUUUCUUUUAUUCUAUUUGUUUUUUUAGUUUGAACUCGUUCUAUUUUUUUAAAACGAAAAAUAAAGAAUUUAAUAAAUAACUGAAACUCAGGAGACAAACCCAAAAAGAUACUCGACAAGGACUCACCCAAAAAGUGUGAGAUCUUGAUUUUGUUAAUAAAACCGAUAAAAGGAGAGAAGAUGGAAAAGCGAAGAGGAUUAAUAAGAUGAGGAUGAAUGCUGAAAAGCGGAGAAGUGACGGUCCUUAAUUUUGGAGGUCGACUCUCAAAACUGCAAAUCUUAUAUGUUAUCAAGACACCAGUUUAAUUCAGAAAAUUUAGGACUUGAUGUUCAUAAACUCGUUCUAUUUUAUUUUACUCACGCCAACCAAAUACAACACCAAUACUCAAAAUCAUUUGAGGUAAACUUAACAACCAACUUAGUUUGGUUGACAUCUUUAUACUCAAGAAGUAUUCAAAAAGCAGUAUUUGAUGAAAUUGUUUGGUUGUCAUUAAUUCAGAAAGUGUAAAUUUCUUGAAAUUUUAAAUACCCGCAGAUCAUGUGAAGUUACUCGUCUGAUCCCCUCUCUUGAUAACUUGCACUUUUAUAAGAAUGUUAAAAUAUUUUCACUAACCUAACACAAAUUUUAACUUACCAUUUAUUAUAAUUUUCACGAUGAUUCCAAAUUAUAUAAGAAUUAACUUUCUAUCUGUAACCAAACAAGAACUUAAUCAAACAGCUUGGAGAUGGAGAACCUUGAUUUAGAAGACUUAAUUGAUCAAAAUAAAAACUUGGAAUUCAACUUAUCUAAAAAAAAAAACUUUGAUCUCUUGUCAAUUGGAUUAUAAGUAUGUUUUCAAUAUUUGUUAUUUUUUACCUUUUCCUUGAUAAACUUUUUGCUCUUUAUUCACCUUUUUUCCCUCCAUUUAUCUUUAUAUAUUUCAUCUUCUCAACUAGACAGAUUUUACAUACUUUAUAUUAGGAUAUCGUUUACAAGAACAUAAAAAGUCAGUCAUCCAAUGGCUUUUAAAUAUUAAGGCAAACUUUAGUCAGGUACUAGUACUAAUCAUCACCAAAUAUAAUCAUAAGUAAUUGGCAAGAAAAAUUAUAUUAAUUUUUUUCACAUUUUUUAAGAUUUUUAUCAUAUAUUUAAAAAUAUUAUAUUUAUUCUUUUAUAAAAAAAUAUCAUAUUUUUAUUUUUAACAAAAAAUAUAAAAAAUUUAAUUAAUUAGAAUAAAGAUCUGAAAUUCAACUUCUUAAAAUAAAUAUAUCUUCUAUCUCAGGUCCCUUGGAUUAUAAGUUAAACAUAUACUUUUUACCAGUAGAAAAAAAUUAUAAACCCUAAGCUUUUUUUUUCUCUCAUCUCUCAAGCCGCCUCUCUCUCUUCUCAUUCCGACGGGGCUUCUAUCAAUUUUUCGGUGGAAAACCCCAAAUCUUUUCGUUUAAUUGCUUGUUUUUUGGUUAUUUUUUCUUGUUUCUUUGAUUUUCUCAAUAAAACUCUCUCUUUGAGCAAAGUUAUCUUAGAUCUAUAUCACCGAAACUUUCGAUUUUCGUUCUUAUUCACUUUCAGAGGGCUUUUUAAAUUUAUGAGUGGAUCGAUUAUCUUGAAGUGUAGAUUCGUGGUGUAGAUCUAAUCGUUUCUAGUGUGUUAUAAUUAUAGUUUGAUUUCUCUCCUUGGUGAGAGUAUGUGAUUUUUCUCUCCUCUUUUGUGAGAGUGUGUGGUUUUCUCUCCUUUUUUUUGUGAGAGUUGGUUCAGAUUUAUUAAUAAAAGCCUUUCGGGAAUUGCAUUUGUGGUUGAUAGGUCAAACGGAUUGUUUGGAAAAGAUGGUGAACACAGAACAAGGAUCUAUAAAUAUACCAUCGUUAAUUUCAACAUCGUUUAUUUGUCUCAUCUUGGGUAUGAAGACAGGCGUGUUAUUCUAUUCUAUAUUUGUUCGACUCGAUCAUUAUUGUAGUGACUGUAUGGAUGUUAUUUAUUGAAUUAUCUCCUUCUAUUAAAAAAAAAACAUAUACUUUUUACCUUAUUUAUUCCACGCCUCAAUAUUCAUUCUCUCUCUGGUUCUCCUAUAUCACCCGAACCAUUCUUUACCAUUAUGUGUUACCCUCAAUAUAUUUGGUACUCCCUCCGUUCCGGUCAUUUCUAUACAGUUUCCUCUUUGGGACGUCCCAUCAUUUCUAUACAUAUCUAAAAUAGCAAUUUUUAAUAAUGUAAAACACUACUCCCUCCGUCUCAAUUUAUAGGUCCAGUUUGGAAAAAAAAUUUGUCCCAAAAUACUUGUCCCUCUAUUAUUUUAAUACAAAUUUAUCUACAUAUUAAUUGUGAUUUUUUUGAAACUCAACAUUAUUCUCAUUUCUCAAUGCACUAAAUCGCUAUAUUUAUUGUGAUUUUUUUGAAACUCAACAAUAUUCUCACUUAUCAAUGCACUAAUUAAUGAUACAUGUGAUAAGAUUCCAUCUAACCAACUUUUUUCUUAAUAUGUGUGUUUAUUCCAAAAUGGACCUAUAAAUUGAGACGGAGGGAGUAUUACACCAACUACUUUCUUCCAUUAUCUUCAUUUUAUAAUAUAACGGUUUUUCUAUGAUGUGCCCAUGGGCACAUACUAAGCAUCAAAUUUUAUGAAAUUGGAUGGUUUCUAUUGGCUUACUUUCUUUAAUAAUGGUGGACCCCCCUGCAGUUACAACAACCACACCAAUCAAAACCCUCCAAUUUUAUAAAUGUUUGUGCUUAGCAUGUGCCCAUGGGCACACACUAGACAAACCCGUAAUAUAAACACUAUUACACCCACUACUUUCUCCCACUAUCACACAUCUAUAAUUAAAUAUAAAUGGGUCCCGCCACUUUACUCACUUUUCAUCUAACUUUAUUCAUUUUUUACACUUUUUCUUGGUCUCCGUGUCCACACCAAAUGUAUACUACCUAUUGGGAUGGAGGGAGUACGUUACAUUUUUACUGGACAAUGAUUAGCUAGGACAUUGUUUAUAUGAACAUGAAAAGUCAGUCGUCCACUGAGCUAAAGUGAACUUUAGUUAGGUAUACUGAUCAUCAUCAAAAUUUUCUUAUCUUAUCUGUACUCUCUGCCUUCAACUUCUCUCCAGUCUUUGCAGAUGUCUGCCUCAACACCAAAAAUGAGUUCAACACUAGUGCAUUUUAGCCACCCAAAACACUCCCUUGUACUAAAAGAUUUUGAUGUUGUUGGAGAUGAUGCUACAUGCCAUGUUUGUGACACAAGUGUUAUAGGCUCUCCAACAUAUACUUGUAGUGAUGAUAAUACUAAGUGUGAAGGUUUCUAUCUCCACAAGACUUGUGCAGAAUUAAGCACUCCAAUUACUUUCUAUAAGCACAACCAGCACCCCUUGAUCCUCUGUCCGGUUAAAGGGUCUUGUGAUGUUUGUUAUAAUCGUGUUGAGAAAUUCGCUUAUUUAUGUUCUGAUGAUUGUGAAUUUGUUGUGUGUGUGUUUUGCGCUUUUCAACAGAGAGCACUUGAUCAUCCAGGUCAUGAGCAGCACACGCUAACAUUGGUGCCCAGGGAAUCGUUAUUUGCUUGUGAUGCUUGUUCGGAAGAAGCUAAAGACUCUUCGUAUAUAUGCACCACUUGUGACUUUUGGAUUCACAAAAAAUGUGCUCUUUCGCCUUUAACAAUCCCCAAUCCUUCUUACCACCAUCAUCCUCUUGAUCUUAUCUACUCCAUUCCUAAAAUGCAUCGCUAUUUCACACGAUAUUGCAAUAUAUGUCACAAACGGGUUAUGAGAGAAGCCUGGCUGUAUUAUUGUCAUAAAUGUACAUAUUUCGUGCAUGUGAAAUGUGCUACAUCCUCACAUUCAUCACCUUCUGAGUAAGUACUUUGAACUCUUGGUUUUUUUUGGUGCCAUUUUGAUAAUCUGUUUUUCUAUUGUCAUGAUCUAAUGUCUUGAGUACUGCCAUGGCUUAACUAAUUCCGAACUUUUGCAGAAAUGAGAAUGAAGAAGAGGGCACUCCUAAUGAACCAGAUUUAGUAGAGUUUCCUCUGCCUACCGAAGAAUUGCUAUUUGAUCUGAUAAUAUCCCAGUGUUGCAAGCUCCAAGUUGAAUCUCAAGGUAAAGAUGAAAACACUAAUCCUAUAUCAACAGCUCCUGAUCCUCCCAUAAUUAAUCAACACUGGAGUCAUAUGGAGCAUCCACUAGUACACUUCCAGUUCACUACUAGUGAGAAUGAUGACAACGAAAAUAAUUAUAAGAGAAGAGAGUUGAUAUGCGAUGGUUGCAUUCAACCCAUAACUAUUUUCCAUCCAUCUUACUAUGCUUGUAUGAAAUGUGGUUUCUUUCUUCACUCCUUUUGUUCCACUAAGUUGCCAGCAGUAUUGCUAGCAGGAGUAUGUCCUGCUCAUCCCCAACAUUCGCUUCUUCUUUCCCAGAAAAACUACUUCUAUACUUUUGCAAAAUGUGAAAUUUGCUGUUACAGAACAAAUGGAUUCUACUUUCUUUGUGAGACGUGUGAUAUUAGAAUUGAUAUACGUUGUGCAUUCUUACCCACCAAGAUAAAGCAUAAAUCGCACAAGCACCAUUCCCUUGUUCAACGUCCAACCUCCAAUUUUAAAUGCAGUGCGAGUGGUUAUGAUUUUACAAGUCGUACACAAUAUGGAUGUGAAACUUGCAGUAACUUUCAUAUAGAUAUAGCAAGUGCAUUUUAUCCUGGUAGGAUGAAACACAGAUACGAUGAUCACCCUGUAACCUUGAGACAACCUCCAUUCUUCUACGAGGGAGUAUUCUAUUGUGAAAUAUGUGAAGACCAAGUUAAUAAUCAAUGGUGGCUCUAUCACUGUGAGGAAUGCGAUCAUUCUUUUCACAAUAAUUGC